rnacentral:lncRNA from 1 species
CUCCUUCCAGUCCCCGUUAAACUACUUCCCCUUUGUCCACUUGGCAUCAGCCAAUCCUCGGUUACAGCCUUACCAGGCCUACCGGUUAGCUUCUCAUAUCCAUACCCGCUCAUGGACACCUAUGUUAACGAAGGGCAAGCUGUAAAUAUCGAGUUUAGGUCGGAAGCAUGGCCGGGCUGCGAAGAGUUUUCCAAGUACUGGGAAGUGGAUGAAUCCUCAUCGGCUUCCGAGGAGCCUGCGAUUCUCGUCGGUGGUAAGAAGCGGGAACGAAACAGCUGGUUUAGAAUUGAGAGAAAAGAAAAUUUUGUAGGAGGAAAUGCUUACAAAUUGACCACCUUAGCCGGGACCAUUGGAACCGUCCCAGGGCCUUGGGAAAAUGCACCACAACUAGUUCUCACCAAUGAUACUGCUAAGACCUUCCUCGUCAAAUUCCACAAAGUACAUGGUGAUACUACAUCUACUUCACGUCUGGAGAAGUUAGGUCUAGGGAUGUUCCCAUUCUACUAGUCAACAAGCUAAGAAUCAUGUAAUGUAAAGCCUGGCCUACCUGAAUUUCCAUAAAUAAAACAAAACUAUGUUUGCCAAAAAGAGACACAACUUUUCAUCAAAGCAAUGGAUUAAAAAAAGACACAAAUUCUUUCCAUAUCCUUUUUCCUUAUACAUAACUAAUCAAAGUUUAAUUGAACAUCCCAGUAGUCUCCUUCAAAAUAUACUGCUUCUCAAUACAUGUACGUAGAAGUAACUCUAAAAUAAAUAAGAAGUCAGUUGUAUAUUUGAAUUUGGCUUUUGAAACAUAAUUUAUAAAGGACCUUGAGAUAUUUUCUCAGGUUUGGGCUUAACUCGAGUUUCCAUUCGAUUGAGAUCGUAAUUCACUAUAUAUAACAGUUUGAGAUUCUAUCAGCUUUAUGUUAGUUGGGGUCCUGGGGACGUUUAUAGUUCCAAUAAACAAGAAAAGCUUCCAACUUCGAAUCCAAAACCUGUUAGUGAAAUUGUAAACUAAUGCUUUUCGCAUGAGUGAAUAAAACCCACUGAGAAUACAAAACUGAAAAUUCGUCCUGUUGUAUGGGAAAGGUCUAACUUUUUGGUAAAGUCAUUGGAAGGAGAUCAUAAGGAGCGAAAACAAACACAAAAAACAAAUUUCUCUAGCAUCAAAUAAAUAAUACAUAUAUGCAUGAUAAUUUGUCACCGAAUGUUGCCUGGUCUUUUUUUUUUACCUAGAUGAGUUCGUUGUUGAUAUAAUACUGAAUGAGAUAGAAUCUUGAGGUUUAGAGCGAUCAUGAGAAUAAACAUAUUGUGUUCAGUAUAACCGAUGGAGAAAGUGCUGACUAUUUCGUGACAAGUUGUUUUAGACUUGUAGUUGACUUUAUUCUUUUACCAAAUGCAUUUGAUGAACAUCUAACUAUCAAAGAGCAUUUCAUGAUAUAUGCAAUUUUUGCAGUUAACUUCUUUGAAGAAUACUCUGUUUUAUGGAUAACUAGUGGUCAUUCCGCGCGUAAUAUUACCUACUUAUUAAACUAUUUGUUGUAAGCCAUUGUUGUUUGUUUUCUUGGCUAUCAUUUGGACAUAAUGAGUGGGUGAAUGCUUUUGGUUGUAAUUUGUUUGCCAAAAGGUUAAUGCUGAAAGACUAUUGUAGUAGAAAUUUGAUGUGUUGUCUGUGAAAUUGUAUGAUUGGAAAAGUGCUUUAUUUUCUGCAUAUUGAGGAAAAUCAUUUUUGUUGAGGUCACUGUUCUAAAAAACGGCUUGUACGGCCGUACAUACGCCGUCUAAAUGCUGUGCGUAUGCUCUCCGUAUCGAAUUCUUCAAUUCGGUUAUAUUAUACGGCCAAACCAAAAUUCUAAACAUUUGGUAAGUCUUAAUGGGCCAGAUCAUUUUAAAGCACAAACUAGGUGAGUCAAAUAAUAAAUACUAGAUUAAUACCUGCACCUUGCGCGGAAUAAAAAUUAUAUAUAUAAAUUAUUUUAUGUAUUAUAUGUUCUUACAUAUUAUGAAAUAAUAAAUAUAUAUUAAAUAAUUAAAAGUCAGUAACUAUUACAUAUAUAAUAAAAUUGGUGCGAACGUAUAAAUCAAUUUUAUUAAUACAAACAAUUUUUAAAAAAAAUUUGAUAGGAUAUGUAAUUAAAUUUAAAUGAUAUUAACAUACAUAAUAUAUUUUUAAUAUUAAUGUCUAUUUUUUUUAAUGGUGUUUUCUACUCAUAUGUUUUUUUUGAUCAUGUGUAUCUUUAAUAGCAAAAACUUUAAAUUACUGAUAACAAAAUUUUCAUUGUGGGACUAAUAAUUUUAGUAAUUGAUAAUUUAAAAAAAUUUAUCAAUGUUAGUUCAAAACUUUUAUCAAAAAAAUUAUUCAAAGUAAAUUUUGAAACUAAAAUAUUUAUUUAUUCAAUAUGGUUUAUAGUUUAAUUUAGAAUGAUAUAUAUAUACAUAUAUAUUUUAAAUCUUAAUGAUUAAUUAAAUUAGACUUUUACUUAUAUGAUUUUGUAAUCAUUUGUAUUUUGUCAUAACAAAAAUUUUAAACCAUGGAUCGCAAAAUUUGAAUGUGAGACUUUUAACAAUUUUAGUAAUUUAUAGUCAUUUUUUAAAAUUCAAAAUAUAAAAUAUACAGAAAAAUCUAAAUUUUUAUAAUAUGGUUAUUUUGUUUUUUUUAAGUUAUUUUAAUAGUUUUAAAUUAAACAAAUUUGAUAGAAGAUACAUUUUUUUUAUCAGAUCUUUUUUAUUCAAAAUCAUUAAUUGUCAUAUAUACUUUACCCACAUUAGGCAAUUCCGUAAUCUUUAUUUAAAGAAAUAAUAAUUGACAUUAAUAAUGAAUUUAUGGUUAGUUUAAUAAAAAGUUUAUUAUAUAAUUAGAUGGACCAACCUAUUUCUCUAGUAAUUCUAAGAAUCAUCCUAGUGAUGACAUGUGGCUACAAAAAGAAGUUGUAAUGGACCAACCUAUUUCUCUAGUAAUUCUAAGAAUCAUCCUAAUGAUGACAUGUGGCUACAAAAAGAAGUUGUAAUGUUUCACAAAUAAUAUAUAGGGGAUAUAAAUUAGUUUAUAGGAUCACUUGUAAACUUGAUUUUUUUUUUCUUUUUUGGCGAUGUGGGAUUUGCAUAACCACGUCACUCUUAUAUUAUUACUUUUCAUGAAAACAUUCAGUUAUAGAGUCCCACAACAUAUUAAACUGAUGAACACUUUAGGAAUAUAUAUUUAAAUUAGUUUUCAGUUAUCUAUACACGAGAAAGGAAUAAAAUGUUAACUCAUAAAUUAUAAAAAUUAGUUUACAAAAAAAUUAUAAAAAUUAAAAUUUAUUUUUUUAUAUGUAAAUAUUGUAAUAUAAAUACAUUUAAACAGAAAAUAUAUUUACCGUAUAUACUUCAUAUAUACAUCCAUAUAGAUAACUAGGCGCUAUACGGUAAUUUGCCGCUCGGAUAGCGUAUAGCGUAUUUUAGAACACUAGUUGAGAUAAUAACUCUGGGGAGAGAGAUGCACUGGUUAGAUUUUUUUUUUUUAAACAUUAUGGGCUUUUAAGAGUGUUUUUGUUCUUCGCGCCCGAAAGAUUAUAUUUGUUUUGUUUAUCAUUUUGCACAUUUUAUAUCUUUUACGUAUUUGAGAUUUUAUUUGUGGUCAAUAUCCUUUAGACAUUAUUUUGAAAUGAUUUGCAUAUGCUUCAUCACGACAUUCAAUUUUAACAAUAAAAGAUGACAUGAAUUUGAAAAAAAUAUAUGAAAUGGCACUAAUAUAAUUGUGACAUAUACAAUCUUCCUUAUAAAACUUUAAAUAUUUUGGGUAAAAUUUUUUAAAUAUGGCAAUUACUAUUAACUUCUAUAUUAUUAUUAAUGUAAAUUUUCUAUAUAUAUAUUCAUUUUUUUGGUAAUAAUAUUAUAAUGUAUUAAUAACUAAUAACUAAUAACUCAUAACUCACAUUAAUAAAAAAUAAGAUAAAUAGUGAAUAUAGUUACAAAUAUAUUUUUUUAUGUGAACUUAUAAACUUUAUUUUGUAUAAAUAUAUAUGUUUUACCAAACAUAAUUGUAAGUGUGCAUCAACAGAUAAAAAAUUAAAACAACACUAAGCAAAUAUUUUUUUGAUAGAUAAAUGAGUAAAAUUUUAUUUAACUUUAUAUAUUCAUUAGAUUAAUUAAAAAUUUUAUUUUUCUCAAUGUAACAUAUUUUAACUAAAUAAAAAAAUAGCCAAAAUUUAUUAGAAUAUAUUUUAACAAUAAGAGAUAUAUUAAAAUAAAUAAUCAUAAAAUAUAAUAGAAUACAAUUAAAAUAUAUUUUAUAAGAGAAGUACCCUAGGAUAACACUAAAAACGUUUUUGUCACAAAUAUAGACUCUAAGGAUCAAAAUGACCAAAAUAUUUCAUUAAAAAGUUAAAUAUACAUUUAUACCCCUAGGGUUAACUAAUCCAAACCUUAAGGUUUAGAGUUAAUGGGUGGAGAUUUGAAAUUAAGGUUUAAAAUUUUAUAAAAUAAAAAAUAAAUAUUAAAAAUAAAAAUUUGAAAAAUAGUUUAAAAAAGUAUUUCGAAUUAUAAAAAGAAAAUUUGAAAAAAAUUCAAAAUUUUUUUUCAAGAAAACAUUUAUAAAAAACUUCGAAUUUAAAAACAUAUAAUCUAAAACUAUAAAAAAACAUUUUUUAUUUUUUUAUUUGUAUUUAUAUAUCCAGGGUAUUAUAGUCUUUUUACCUAUUAAAUAAAACAUUUUGGUCAUUUUUCUCCUUAGGGUCUAUUUUUGUGACAAAAACUUGAAAAUUGUCUAUUUAAGAGAAUUGCCCAUUUUAUAAUCUAAUUUUAAAUUUAUUAAAGCAUAAAUAAAUUCAAACUGAAAUAGUUAAACCAAAUCAAAAGAAAUAAGAUUACAAAAAAUACAUUUAAGGCUUUUUAAAAUCAUUGAAAUUAAAAUAUAAAAAUAAUGAUGUUCAAAUGUAAAUUAAAUUUUUCUUAUAAAAUAAAAAGAGUAUUAUACAGAAAAACUCCUAGUGUAUCAUGAAAUUAUAUAUGAAAAUAUAUUCUCAUUUUUUUAUUUUUAAAAAUUAUAUUUGAUUUUUAGCAUUCAUCUUGGUUGUAUUCUUCUAAUGAAAAUAUAUAUUUUUUUGAGACUAUUUGUGUAUUAUUAUAAUUAUUAACCGCAGAAAAAUUAUAUUUGUCUUUUAACAUUUGAAAUUAUACUAUUUUAAAAUUAUAUUUGUCUUUUAAAAUAUAUUUAUGAAAUUAUACUAUUUUAAAUUUUACCAUCUAUUUCGAUUGUAUUUUUUUUUUGUAGGGGAGUUACAUUCUUAUUUUUCGUAUUUUCUGAGAUUAUAUGUGUAUUGUUUUAUAUAUUUUAUUUAAUUUUAUGUUAAAAUUGUCAGAUUGAUGGUGGUUUAUGUGUGUGUAUUCUAUCUGUGAUUAUGAAUGUCUCUAACAAUCUUUUUAUUCAAAUAUCAUACCAAAUAUUGAAAACCACAUUGUCUUUGGCUAAUCUAGCAUGUUUAACUUCUAGAGGGUUUUUUUUCUUCUUAACCGUAAAAGGCUACGAGCAUAUUUUAGUUAAUAAUUUUUAAUAGUUUUGAUUUAUAUUUAAAUAUUAAUUAGGACGGUAGUCCAAACCAAAGCCCACUUAACCCUAAAACCCACCAGAACCAAUCUAUAUAAACAAAAAUAGCAUAUGACUUUUGAGGUUAAUAAUUUUAAUAUUAUAAAAAAAUUCAGCUUAACUCGGUACAAAUCCAAACCGUUCUAAAAUUAAUCAUUCAUAUCUUUUAUUAUUUCAAAUAUAUAUAUAUACUUUCUUUGACAUUUUAUGCAAUUUAUACAUAACAAAAUGUAUUGAAGUUUGAUGUAGCUUUUCAAUAUAUAUAGUUGUUAAUAGUGAUGAAGGCUUAAAUUUUUAUAAGAUAUUCUAAAAAACACUUCACUACAUAGAUUUAAAGUUUUCUUUAAUAUUUGAUCUAUAUUUUUGGAUAUUUGUCAACAAUCUUGGUUGUAAAUUAAUUUUGAUUGAUUAAAACAUAUUAAAAUUUUACAUUUUGGUUUAUUUUGGGUUCUGGAGUUUUUGGUUACCCGAGUUCUUCUGUAUGUAGUAUGAGCUCAGAUUUCUGAGAAGCUUGCUUACCAAUUAUUGAAAGUCGCACUGUCUUUAGCUAUUAUGUUUUAACUUCCAGAGAGCUUGUGUUAAAAAAAAAACUUCUAAAGAGUUGAUUUUAGUCUUAACAAAAAAAACUAUAAGCAUAUUCUAGUAGAUAACUUUUUAAUAGCUUUAAUUUACAUUUAGAUGUUAAUUAGGAUCGUAGUCCAAACCAAAAUCUAUUUAACCUAAAACACAUGGGAACAAAUCUAUAUAAACAAAAAAUAGCAUAUGCCUUUUGAAAUAAUAAUUUUUAUAUUAUAAGUUUUUUCAGCUUAAUUCGGUACAAAAUUUUGUAUUAUUUCAAAAUCAUUAUUUAUUUAGAUUUUACACAAUUUAUACAUAAGAAAAUGUAUUGAAGUUUGACGUAGCUUUUCUAUAUAUAUAUAGUUGUUAAUGGUGAUGAAAGCUUAAAAGCUUUAUAAGAUAUUCUAAAAUACACUUUACUACAUAGAAUUAAAGUUUCUUUAAUAUUUGAUAUAUAUUUUUUGGAUUUUGUUUUUCAAAAAUCUUGGUUGUGAAUUCAUUUUGAUUGAUUAAAACUUAAAAAAAAAAAAUUAACUUUGGUUUAUUUUGACUUUUUGAUUCCCAGAGUUCUUGUGCCAAGUUCAAAUUUUUGAGAAGCUAGUUUUAAUUUAUUUUGAGCUUAAACAUGUUAGAUGUUUCAGAAGAUCUUGUGUAGAUCCUGCUAUUGUGUUGUUCUUGGGUCUAUCGUGUUGGUUGUUAACGGCUUGCCUUAGUAACUCGAGACUUAACACCGUUAGUUUAAGGAUAUAUGCAUCAUUGCAGUGCUUUUAAGUUUUAUAUAUUAGGUUUUAUAUGAGACUGAAGAAAUGCUUGCUAUCGUGUGUCCUACUGUGUCAAAAUAGCUAUUUCGUUAUGGAGGAGGUACCAUAAAUAUAUUUACAUGACUAAGCCUUAAAAUUCCCGAAUAUCUUUUUCACAUCAUGAUCUCAUUUGUAAUAAUCACCAACCUUUUUUCGACGCUAAUUAGCUUUGCAUUCGAAAGUAGAAGCACUACGAUGGACGAUGAAAAAUAUGCUUCAACAUUCGACAUGCCAGAGCUUCACGCCUGGCCAAGCUUUGCAACAUAAUUGGAGAGGAUAAAUAUUAUGCAGAUAUGCUUUCCAGAUUUCAAGAUCACUUAUAUUCCGUGUGCUCAAAACAAGAUUUUUGAUUUUUUAGCUAGGACUGCUAGAUCCUUCCAUUGGGAGUUAUAUUUCAUUGAUUGUUCUAUUCCGGUCUGGUUACCCAGACCACCUCAAGUUUGAGUAAUAUGAUAGCCGCUCGUUGUCAAAAAAUAAAAAUAAAAUAAUCUCCCAACCCAGAAUAGUUGGAUCCCGUUAACAAUCACUAAUCUUCAUACCAAAGCACAAUCCAAGAUGAUACAAUAUUUCAUCACCAAAAUGGAAAGUUUCAUCCAGUACUUGUGCCAAAGCUAUUGCUCUAAUUCGUAGAAAUCAGAUUCAUCACCUCCCUCACAGCUUUAACCACUAAGAGAUCUCCUUGCAAUGGUUAAACAACAUCUUAGUCCUAGUGUGGUGCAGUAGCAACCAAAAAAACUAAACUUUAAUUUGUAAGCAUAAUGGAUAGAUUCUGCUCCAUUAGAUGAGCAAAGUUGGCCAGGAAAAUUUUACAUGCAGUCUCUAAUUGUUUUUGGAGCUCUUGGCCUCCACCCGAAGAAAAAUAGCAGAGAAGGGAACACAUGCAAUGAUUUAUCGAGCUCUAAUUAUCAGUGAGUAAAGUUCUUUGUUAAUCAUUAAACUUUAUGCAAUGAAUCAUUAGGAGUAAAGUUCUUUGCAAAACACAUCAGUUAUCAAGCGUAGACACUCAGGAAAAGGUAUACAGACCUCCCAAACUUUUGCGGCAAAGACCAAUGAUUAGAUUGAGUAGGAUGAGCAGUUAAAACCAAGUUAACAGUCAGGUUCUUGAGAGCAUCAAAUGCUCUCUUCAAGAAGCUUUGUAAGCAGCAAGAGCCUCUUAAGAGUCUCUUCAAUGUCGAAUUCUGUUGCUGCAGGACCUCAUCUGCAAAAAUAUCAAUCAAACAUUAAAGAGACAUAGAUAACAAAGGAAGUCAAGAUUUUGCAAGUUACUUUACCAAAAUAACUGGAGACAAUUUUUGACUUUGUGGGAUGAAAUUUAGAAAUAUUCUUAAACAGUUGAAAACAAUUAAACAAAUAAGAGCAUCAUUAUCCCUGAAACCCCAAAUUCUUAGUUUUUUUUUUUUUUUAUUUUUUUUUUAUUUUUUCGAAUUUAAAAAAAAAAACGAACCAAUCGUGAGCCGCCACGUGUUAGUGGGGCCCGCGAACAGUGUAAGAAACCCUUAAUACCGACUACUAUUUAAUAGUUUUUGUAACCGGUUUCUAAAAAAAUAAGUGGGUUCUACGCGGGACCCACACGAUAAGAAACCAUCUAGAAUCCCCGGAUAAAAAUAGAAAUCUAACCCAUAAAGUUUUUUGUUUAACUGGAUUUUUUUUGUUUAGUUGUCAGAUUGGGCCUCAUCAUGUUAAUAAAAAUUAAAUAAAAACAAAACACAAAGGAAAAGGUCCAGCCCACCGAAAAUAACCAAAUCAUUCGAAAACUAAAAAUUCCUUGCCUGCCACGUGACAUUUUUCCCCUAUGGAGAAAAAACCAACUUUAUUGUAUUAGAUUGUGUGUUUUUUGCACAUUUUGUUUCUAAUUCUAACGAAUUGGAUCAUAUUUUAAUUUGAGUUUUCUAUUAAUUGGAAAUUUCAGUUAGGUUUUUGUAUUAGAUGUUAUAGCCAAUGUUCAAUUAAAUGUUACAUUUUCAAGUAUAGGUGUAGCUUUGCAAAGUGGUAUGACAUUGCAAAAGCUAUAUUUUGACAAGUUCUCAAAAUACUUUGAACAUAUUUUUCAUUUUAUUAUUUUAAAAAUAUAUUUUUAAAAAAAUUAUAUACUCAUUCAAAAAUAAAAUAAUAAUAGUUAAUGGUGAUAAUUAAUUACAAUAAUUUUAAUUUAUUAAAAGUAAUAAUAAUAUUACUUUUAGGGGAUACGUUAAUUGAAAUAGUAAGUCGUAACUUUAGAGCAUGAUUAACCCGAACUCUUAAUUUGAAGUUCUUAACUCAUGAAUUGACAUUUUUUUUUACAUUUUUCGGUUAAGAGUCAGUUUUUAUAUCUCUUAUUUAAGAGACAGUUCUUAGUUUUUCUUAGUUAAAAGCUAAGAACCCCACUCUAAGAGCACGGAUCAAUCAAGACCUUACAUUAAUUGCAUUAAAUUGAUAAAACUAAUUUGGUGAACUUAGUUCAUAAUCAAUCGAAAAAUAAUACUAUAGGAUAUCGAAAAACAGUUUUUAUAGUAAAAAUAUCAUACACUUUAAAAAUGAAUGGAAUCAUAGGAAAAAAAAUCUAAAGCAUCAGUUGACCAUUGAUACUCCAUAGUUUACGCAGGUAACCAAUUUUGUUAGUUAUUUCUGGAUCCCAACAAAUCUUUUCUCCCACCAACUCAAAGUAUUUGUUCUCAAUUCUUUUCUUAGCAGCAGCAUCGGGCAUUCUACUACGGUAGUCUCCUGCUCUUAACUCCGCAAUGACAAGUUCAAGCAUAACUUGACAGUUUCUGUCUUUCCACAGAUACUAAAGUACAUAUUUCUAGUUGUUAACUUAAAAUAUCUCAUUUAUACAGCUGAUUACUGCAGAAAAAAUUAUAUAACAUAAUUACCUGGCCUUCACGACUGGUUUCACCAUCGAUUGUGGUUCUUGCCUCAUUGUUUGACUUACGUCCACGACGUGCUCCAUUUUGAUUUCUUGAAAUUGACAUGAUAGCUAUAAUAUAAACACAUGAAACAAGUUUUAUUAUUAACCAACACUGAUCAGUGCGUGUGUUUUUUCUUAUACACAUAAUAAAUAAUCUUAAAAGUAUAGUUUACCUGCUUCUCUUGUUUCUAGAUGUAUUAGGGUUAUAUGAAGAAAAAGCUUGAUGAACUAAUGUUAUAUAGAAAAAGACAAACCUACGUACAUUGAUAAGUUGGUUUAAAAUGUCAGUUUUCUAUAAAUUUAUUUGGUACAUUAACAUAUUAAUAUAUAUAUUUUUACCAUUUUUUAUAGUUUUCCUUUUGAUUCCUUAUCUAAUUUGACAUGGAAAAUAUUUACACUAUAUUCCUCAUAAGAAAAGGAACGUGGGGGAAUUUCUAAUUCCUACAAGUAAUAAAAUUUCCCUUUAACUGGUAACAAAAGACGGGAACUGAGAGGAACAUAGUAUUCCCUGCAAUUUUUUUCCUCAAUUGGUGUCACCAGUUGGACCCAAAGAGAAACAUGAGUGGAAUAAUAUUCAUUAUAUGAUAAAGCAUAUAUAAUUAGGGUUUAAAAGUUAGAAUUUAUGGUAAUAAUAUCUUUAAAUAAAUCUUUUUUGUUAAUAUUUCAAGAAUAUUUUUUAUAUUAAAUGAAUUAUAUUAAAUGAAUUAUUCAUUAAAGAUAACUUAGUUUUUCCAGAUUACUAUUUAUUUAGAUGUUAUUUUUAUAGUAAGAAAAUAUUUUUUCUGCUUUUUUGGAGAAUUGCUUAUUUUUUUCAUGUCUGUGUAUUUUGCAAAGUGGUCCAGUAGCGCAAACUCUAUUUUGAGAAACUCUAAAAAAUUCAAAGAUAUUUUCCAAUUUUAAAAAUUAUUAAAUAAUUACUGAAAUAAUAAUUAUAAUAAUAAUUGAUUAUAUAAUUUAAAUUCACUAAGAGUAUCUAUAUAUUUUCUGAUGAAAAUUUUAUGUGUAUGAUAAAAUUCAUUUUCAAAUAAUAUUAUAGAGUACGGAGUUUCUUAGUUUUGCUUAUACAAAAUAUCUUUGGGCAUUGUACGGAGUUUCUUAGUUUUGAUUUACCAGACUUAUCACUUAUUAUUUUUUUUUUGAUAAAUCCUAUCGACUGAUCCGGUCGGCCCUGGGAGAAACGUACUUAGUGCUACAUAAAAAAUCGUGGUAGACGUCAUUUUUAUUUUGUCUGGUAUGGUGCUUUAAAUUGACAAAAAAAGUUUUUUAAAAACAAAUUGACAGAAAAAGUUGGAAGUAGAAAUAAGAUAUUUAGAGAAUCAUUUUUUUGCUUCCAAAAUUUUUAGUUGCCAAUAUAUUAUGGGUGCACGUGCCCCCAUUGUUAUUGUCCUGGCUUGGCCACUGUCUAUACAUUCAUUGGUUGUUCAGUAUAGUCUCUUUCUGUUUGAAAUCUUGCCUGGUUCUCAGGAAUUACUUGAUCAUCCUUUAUAAGUUAGUUACAAUGGACCAUUUUGCAUGUUCCUCGUGCUGAAAAUCAAAGUUUGAUUCGGUUAACCUAUGUAGUAAAUUUUCAAUAAAUAUCUAUAUAGAAAUGAGAGACAAUCUUUUCUUUUUUACCGUCACACACGGGCAUAUAAUUUAACCGCAGAAGUUUCAUAUAAAUAUUGGUGCAACGUUUCUGCUCUCUACAGCUCAACUCAAAAGGAAACACACACAUAUUCAAAAUGAUGUCAUCAUUCCCAUUGGUCUCCUUUCUCAUCACUCUCAUGUUGGCUGCAGCUGUAUGCACCCACGGGGAAAAUCGCGUGAAUGACACCGACGGAAAUCCACUUCGAACGACUGCACAAUACUUGAUCCUACCACUCUCCCCGAGGAGUAACGGAGGUGGUCUUCUCCCAGUUCCCGUUAAACUACAGCCCCUUUGUCCACUUGGCAUCAGCCAAUCCUCGGUUAAGGCCUUACCAGGCCUACCGGUUAGCUUCUCAUAUCCAUACGCGAUCAUGGACACAUAUGUUAACGAAAUGGAAGCUAUAAACAUCGAGUUCAAGUCAGACGCAUGGCCGGGCUGCGAGGAGUUUUCCAAGUACUGGGAAGUCGAUGAAUCCUCAUCGGCUUCAGAGGAGCCUGCGAUUCUCGUCGGUGGUAAGAAGCACGAACGAAAAGAACCUUUUUACGGAGGAAUUGCUUACAAGUUGACCACCUUAACCGGAACCAUUGGAACCGUCCCCGGGCCUUGGGAAAAUGCACCACAACUAGUUCUCACCAAUGAUACUGCGAAGACCUUCCUCGUCAAAUUCCACAAGGUUCAUGGUGAUACCACGGCUACUACUUCUACUUCACGUCAGGAGAAGUUAGGUCUAAGGAUGUUCCCAUUCUAAUCAACAAGCAAAAGAUCAUGCAAUGUACCUGGACUAAAAUAAUGGGUUGAGAUAAUACCCUCAUGCAUGUACCUGGAUUUCCAUAAAUAAAAUAGAACUAUGUUUGCCAAAAAAAAGACACAACUUUUCAUCAAAGCAAUGGAUGAAAAAAGGACACAACUUUUCAUAUCCUUUUUCGUUAUACAUAACUAAUCAAAGUUUAAUUGAACAUCCAAGUCGUCUACUUCAAAAUAUACUGCUUCUCAAUACAUUUUUUUUUUUGCUUCUCAAUACAUAUGUACUGCUAUUUGACAAUACAUAUAUAUAUAUAUAUAUAUACUAGUUGAUUUUCCCGUGCUCAUGCACAUGUAUAAAUAUUCAUGAAAUAAGUAUAGCAUAAAAUUUUUAGAAAUGUUUAGUUGUGUUUUAAAUCACUUUAUAAUUUAAAUUAAUGUAUGAUUUAUUUUAAAUAAUAUUUUGUUAUUUUAUUUAGACAUGUAAUUUUGGAUGUAUAAUAUAUAGUCUAUUUGAUUUUUACUUGGGUAUUUUGGAUUGCAUUAACUUCUCCAAAUUAAACCAUAGUAUUUUUUUUUGUUUUGAAUAAAUUAAAAUUUUGAUUAAUUUGGUUAUUAGCAUUUAGAAUUUAUUUUUAGGUAUAAAUUUUGGAUUGUUUACGUAAAUCAUUUUUCUGGGUUAUAUUGAGUUAUAUAUAUUUUUCUAAUCAAAGUACAACUAUUUUUUUUUUAUUGUAGUUAAACAAAAUUGAUUAGUUUUAUUUAUUGCAUUAGUAAGUCUUUUUAUCUGAUUAUAUUUCCAUAAUUUUUUUAUAAUUUGAUAUUUAUUUUUUUAUAAAAAAUAGAAAAACUAAAGUGAAGAUAAGUUACAAAGUUUCAUAGAUGGACGUUCCCUAUAAAGAAAAUUAAAAUUCAUUAACGGAUAUCAAUAUUUACAAAAUAGUAAAUAUUUUGUAGAUUCUAAGUAACUUUAUACUUUUAGAUGUAUAAAACAUAAAUUAAAAAUAUCCUAAAUAAUUUUAACCAUUUAAAAUACAUAAUUUGGUGUUUCAGUAAGGACAACAAGUAAUUUUUGUUGCUGUGUUUGAACUAAAAUUGUUUAGUUCGACAUCUUUUAAAUGAAGUUCAUAUCAUGUUCUUUGCAGAUUUGAGAUAAGGCAAGUAAAUGAAGGGAACCACCACGUACCAGGAUUGGUUGAAGCACGAGUGACAAGCAUAGAGGAGGUUUGGGAUGUGUUGAAAACAGGAAGUAAUGCAAGGGCUGUUGGGAAAACGACGGCUAAUGAGCACAGCAGCCGAUCUCACUGGUUUGUAGCUCAAGUCUCCUUUUUCAGAAAACGUUUCUGGUGAUCAGCUACCUAAACGUAGUUUCUUUUCUCUGCACAGCAUUUACUGCGUGAUGGUAAAAGGGGAGAAUUUGUUGACUGGAGAAUGCACAAAAAGCAAACUAUGGUUAGUUGAUUUAGCAGGAAGCGAACGGGUUGCAAAGACAGAAGUGCAAGGAGAACGGCUCAAGGAGACUCAAAGCAUCAACAAAUCAUUAUCUGCUCUUGGUGAUGUCAUAUAUGCUCUUGCCAAUAAAAGCUCUCACAUUCCUUUCAGGUCAAUAUGAUUCAUCCUUUUCCUCGAGUUACUGAACAAGGUUACAACAGACUACAGUCACCAUUUUUCAUCCAAUUUGACGUUUCGUUUGCAUUACCUUUGCAGAAAUUCAAAGCUCACCCACUUACUUCAGGAUUCUCUAGGUACUUUUAACUUUUUUUUUAAAAUCUGCAGCCAUUUUCUUUGCUUACAUAUGUUUCACUUUAACUAUCCUGUUAUGGUGCUUGUGAUAAAAAAAAUUGUCUGGAAUGUAACAGGAGGAGAUUCGAAGACCCUCAUGUUUGUACAAAUCAGUCCUAACGAGAAAGACAACAGCGAAACGCUAUGCUCACUGAAUUUUGCUAGUAGAGUUAGAGGGAUAGAGCUGGGGCCUGCAAAGAAGCAGCUAGACAAUACUGAACUCUUGAAAUACAAGCAAAUGGUAAGCUAGACUCUCAAGAUGACAUCUCCACAUAUGUGUAUAUCCAAUCAUUCAAGUGUUUAAUCAGGGUUGUGUUUAUUUUUUAGGUUGAGAAAUGGAAGCAAGAUAUGAAAGUAAAAGACGAACAGAUGAGGAAAAUGGAGGAAACGAUGUUCGGUUUAGAAGCGAAGGUCAAGGAACGAGACAUUAAGAACAAAACUCUUCAAGAAAAGGUAAAACAAUACUCCCCAUAACCACACGAAGAACAUUUUGAUCUUUGCUGAAACCACCACAUAUCACUUUCUUUGCUAGGUUAAAGAACUUGAAUUGCAACUGCUAGUAGAGAGGAAGCUGGCUCGUCAACAUGUAGACACCAAGAUUGCUGAGUAUCAGACGAAACAACAGAACGGAGAUGAAAACAUCCCAUCAAAGAGGCCACCACUUGCAACCAUACCGUUGGGAAGCAACAAGAGCUCAAAUGAAACCUCAACUUCGAAAGAAAUGGUGAAUCUAAACCGACCGCCACUCUCAGAGAGCACCACCACCAGCAAUGAUCUACCGCCUUUACCUAACGGUUGCGUCAAGUACAACGACCUCAUGGAGAAGGAGAACAACACUCCAGAAAUGGCUGAGCGGUUGCAAAUAUCCAAGAGUACAGGGAGAUUCUCCGUUUGUCCAAAGCGUAUUCUACCACCUCCAGCUCCAAGAAGGAGCACUCUUGCCCCUAUGCCAUACUUUCCAAUCACAUCAACUUCGCCAUCAAGGCCUCAUGAAAAGAGCGGCACUAGCCAGGUGCUACGCAUCAGCCCCAAGUUGCGUAAAAGCAACGGGAAGAUGCUGAGCAGCAUACUGAGACGGAGCAUGCAAAAGAGAAUGCAUAUGAAACCUUACCAGAGACAGCAGCCGUUGAGAAGAGUUGGCAUUAAUGUAGGAAUGGAGAAAGUUAGGUUGUCUAUAGGAAGCAGAGGAAGGUUAGCUCACAGAGUUUUGCUAACCAAUGCUCGCAAGGCAGGUCUAAAGGAAACACCACUGAAACAGAUACAGAAGGAGAAAGAGAGAUGGAUCUGACCCUAGGACAUAACUUCUCAUCCAGUUAGAAUUAUUCGAGGAUGAUUGACACUUUAUCAUCCUCAUGUGUUGUUUGUGGAUUUGAUUUGAUCCUACUGUAUAGAUGUAUUUGAUUGGCCCUUGUGAGUACAUUGGAAAUGAUUUUAUUGGGAGUCUAGUUGGUUUUCAUUAAGACAUAGACUCUAUUUUGUUAAACAUUUCAUAUAAGAAACAAAACUUCUCAGACAGACACUGACAUCUUUUGUUAAACUAAAUACCACUAUCUGUGUCAUCGUUAUGCGUCCAUGGAUUAUUAGUCUCAACCCAACCUCUAAACGCUAUGUUAUCUAUAGUACGGUCAACAGCAACUUGUGGUUUUCCUUCUUGACAAAUCGGAUUAUGUGAAGGAAGACCGGCCCUUUUAAAGGGUUCAGGGAACUCAGUCUCUGGACAUUCGCGCACACUACAAUCACGUAAAUGACACAUUCCACCGUCUCGCCAGAAUGGGCAGUCACACCACAGCUUAACUGAUCGCCGAAGAAGAAACUGACAUUAGAAACUGUCCUAGAGCUAACAGCAACAGAAAAUAGCACAACAACCAAAGUAGCCAAAGGCCAUCGCCAUGUUCUUCUCUUCCCUUCGCCAUCUUCUGCAUUGAUUGCACCACCUUUUCCCAUUACUAUGACGAAAUUAAAAAAAAAAAACAGAAAAAUGUCUGAUCUUUUCACGAUAAACACGUUUUUUCGUCUUUGGACAAUUAUAAAAACACCAAUGUUGUUGUUGUGUCUGAAGAUCGGCUCAUAUUAAGCAAGCAAAUAAGAGUCAUGAAAAAUGAAUGAGUUUGUUUGGUUUUGACAUUUCAGCAGCGCUAAGCAGGGUCUGAGUAACGCGAGUUACAUUUAGUCAGCGCGUGACAUUUAUUUCGUUUGUCUGGUGACGUGCUUUAGCCAAAUAGGAUCCAUUUAAUCCUAACAUAAACAUCUUGCUGUUUCAACACGUCUCAUUUAAAAAAAAAAAUAUUUUAGAUAAUAAAAAAAUUUAGGUAUGUUUCAUAAACAUAUGUUUGGUUAGUUAAAUGAAUAUUUGGAUUAUGACUUUUUAAAAACAAUGUCACAAAAUUUAUUAAAAUCUAAUUGUUGAUGAGUAAAUAACUAUGUUAAUUUAUUUAAUUGAUAAAAUGCAAUUCAAAAGCAUAUAAACAAACUAUUUAAUCAACAAUAUGUGUAUUAAUUGUGGAUUAUUCUUACCACAUUUUAUUUUUAAUAGAACUUUGUAAGCUUAUUAUAAGCCAAAACUGAAUUAGCCCGGUAAGAAAGAAACGAAAAUUGACCAAUGUUUUUAAGAACCUUUUAUAAUCUAUUAUAAAAUUAGAUGAUUUUGUAGCAAACACCAAUAUAAAAAUACUAAAAUUUUUAUUUUUUACUUAUUUGAUUAGGUUAAUUAUUUUAAUAUUAAUUAUAUAUUUUAUUUUUAUGUAUAUGCUAUUUUAUGUUUUGACAUACUUUAUGAAUUUUUUAAAUAAAUUUUAGUGUUAUGUUUUAAGAUAGUUAGCAUAUAUAUCAAGUUAGUUAAUUUUAGUUCAUAUUUUGAAAUUAAUUUAUAGAUUUACUUUAGAAAUAUUAAGAUUNNNNNNNNNNNNNNNNNNNNNNNNNNNNNNNNNNNNNNNNNNNNNNNNNNNNNNNNNNNNNNNNNNNNNNNNNNNNNNNNNNNNNNNNNNNNNNNNNNNNNNNNNNNNNNNNNNNNNNNNNNNNNNNNNNNNNNNNNNNNNNNNNNNNNNNNNNNNNNNNNNNNNNNNNNNNNNNNNNNNNNNNNNNNNNNNNNNNNNNNNNNNNNNNNNNNNNNNNNNNNNNNNNNNNNNNNNNNNNNNNNNNNNNNNNNNNNNNNNNNNNNNNNNNNNNNNNNNNNNNNNNNNNNNNNNNNNNNNNNNNNNNNNNNNNNNNNNNNNNNNNNNNNNNNNNNNNNNNNNNNNNNNNNNNNNNNNNNNNNNNNNNNNNNNNNNNNNNNNNNNNNNNNNNNNNNNNNNNNNNNNNNNNNNNNNNNNNNNNNNNNNNNNNNNNNNNNNNNNNNNNNNNNNNNNNNNNNNNNNNNNNNNNNNNNNNNNNNNNNNNNNNNNNNNNNNNNNNNNNNNNNNNNNNNNNNNNNNNNNNNNNNNNNNNNNNNNNNNNNNNNNNNNNNNNNNNNNNNNNNNNNNNNNNNNNNNNNNNNNNNNNNNNNNNNNNNNNNNNNNNNNNNNNNNNNNNNNNNNNNNNNNNNNNNNNNNNNNNNNNNNNNNNNNNNNNNNNNNNNNNNNNNNNNNNNNNNNNNNNNNNNNNNNNNNNNNNNNNNNNNNNNNNNNNNNNNNNNNNNNNNNNNNNNNNNNNNNNNNNNNNNNNNNNNNNNNNNNNNNNNNNNNNNNNNNNNNNNNNNNNNNNNNNNNNNNNNNNNNNNNNNNNNNNNNNNNNNNNNNNNNNNNNNNNNNNNNNNNNNNNNNNNNNNNNNNNNNNNNNNNNNNNNNNNNNNNNNNNNNNNNNNNNNNNNNNNNNNNNNNNNNNNNNNNNNNNNNNNNNNNNNNNNNNNNNNNNNNNNNNNNNNNNNNNNNNNNNNNNNNNNNNNNNNNNNAUCAUUGGUUUUAUGAUUUUAGUAGGGAAAACGACGGCUAAUGAGCACAGCAGCCGAUCUCACUGGUUUGUAGCUCAAGUCUCCUUUUUCAGAAAAUGUUUCUGGUGAUCAGCUACCUAAACGUAGUUUCUUUUCUCUGCACAGCAUACACUGCGUCAUGGUAAAAGGGGAGAAUUUGUUGACUGGAGAAUGCACAAAAAGCAAACUAUGGUUAGUUGAUUUAGCAGGAAGCGAACGGGUUGCAAAGACAGAAGUGCAAGGAGAACGGCUCAAGGAGACUCAAAGCAUCAACAAAUCAUUAUCUGCUCUUGGUGAUGUCAUAUAUGCUCUUGCCAAUAAAAGCUCUCACAUUCCUUUCAGGUCAAUAUGAUUCAUCCUUUUCCUCGAGUUACUGAACAAGGUUACAACAGACUACAGUCACCAUUUUUCAUCCAAUUUGACGUUUCGUUUGCAUUACCUUUGCAGAAAUUCAAAGCUCACCCACUUACUUCAGGAUUCUCUAGGUACUUUUAACUUUUUUUUUAAAAUCUGCAGCCAUUUUCUUUGCUUACAUAUGUUUCACUUUAACUAUCCUGUUAUGGUGCUUGUGAUAAAAAAAAUUGUCUGGAAUGUAACAGGAGGAGAUUCGAAGACCCUCAUGUUUGUACAAAUCAGUCCUAACGAGAAAGACAACAGCGAAACGCUAUGCUCACUGAAUUUUGCUAGUAGAGUUAGAGGGAUAGAGCUGGGGCCUGCAAAGAAGCAGCUAGACAAUACUGAACUCUUGAAAUACAAGCAAAUGGUAAGCUAGACUCUCAAGAUGACAUCUCCACAUAUGUGUAUAUCCAAUCAUUCAAGUGUUUAAUCAGGGCUGUGUUAAGUUUUUAGGUUGAGAAAUGGAAGCAAGAUAUGAAAGUAAAAGACGAACAGAUGAGGAAAAUGGAGGAAACGAUGUUCGGUUUAGAAGCGAAGGUCAAGGAACGAGACAUUAAGAACAAAACUCUUCAAGAAAAGGUAAAACAAUACUCCCCAUAACCACACGAAGAACAUUUUGAUCUUUGCUGAAACCACCACAUAUCACUUUCUUUGCUAGGUUAAAGAACUUGAAUUGCAACUGCUAGUAGAGAGGAAGCUGGCUCGUCAACAUGUAGACACCAAGAUUGCUGAGUAUCAGACGAAACAACAGAACGGAGAUGAAAACAUCCCAUCAAAGAGGCCACCACUUGCAACCAUACCGUUGGGAAGCAACAAGAGCUCAAAUGAAACCUCAACUUCGAAAGAAAUGGUGAAUCUAAACCGACCGCCACUCUCAGAGAGCACCACCACCAGCAAUGAUCUACCGCCUUUACCUAACGGUUGCGUCAAGUACAACGACCUCAUGGAGAAGGAGAACAACAAUCCAGAAAUGGCUGAGCGGUUGCAAAUAUCCAAGAGUACAGGGAGAUUCUCCGUUUGUCCAAAGCGUAUUCUACCACCUCCAGCUCCAAGAAGGAGCACUCUUGCCCCUAUGCCAUACUUUCCAAUCACAUCAACUUCGCCAUCAAGGCCUCAUGAAAAGAGCGGCACUAGCCAGGUGCUACGCAUCAGCCCCAAGAUGCGUAAAAGUAAUGGGAAGAUGCUGAGCAGCAUACUGAGACGGAGCAUGCAAAAGAGAAUGCAAAUGAAACCUUACCAGAGACAGCAGCCGUUGAGAAGAGUUGGCAUUAAUGUAGGAAUGGAGAAAGUUAGGUUGUCUAUAGGAAGCAGAGGAAGGUUAGCUCACAGAGUUUUGCUAACCAAUGCUCGCAAGGCAGGUCUAAAGGAAACACCACUGAAACAGAUACAGAAGGAGAAAGAGAGAUGGAUCUGACCCUAGGACAUAACUUCUCAUCCAGUUAGAAUUAUUCGAGGAUGAUUGACACUUUAUCAUCCUCAUGUUUUGUUUGUGGAUUUGAUUUGAUCCUACUGUAUAGAUGUAUUUGAUUGGCCCUUGUGAGUUUAACAUUGUAAAUGAUUUUAUUGGGAGUCUAGUUGGUUUUCAUUAAGACACAGACUCUAUUUUGGUCAGUUCUGUUGGAAAUCUUUUCAGGAACAGAGACUAUGUUAUUGCAUGCCAGAUUAGGCGAGAAGAAACGGAGCAUUGAAGUCUAAUAUGUACGACGACUACAAGCUUUGUUUUGGGGGCAAGCAAGCAAGUAUUAAAACUAUAAACUACUUUUGACAUGCUUCUGCUUAUGUAUAGAUUUAUAACUUCUUUUCUAUGUAAACUAUAAACUACUAUAAUGAUCUUUAGUUAUCGUUACAGUGAUGAUUCAUCAUGAAUGAAUAACUAUUUCGUGACAAGUUCGUUUAGACUUGUAGUUGACUUUAUUCUUUUACUAAAUGCAUUUGAUGAACAUCUAACUAUCAAAGAGCAUUUCAUGAUAUAUGCAAUUUUUGUAGUUAACUUAUGUGAAGAAUAUUUGUAAAUUUUGAUUCGAUUUGUUUUUUGCUUCGGUUCGAGCCGAAAAAUCUAGAUAUCCGAAACUCUACGAAGUGAAACAAAAAUUUAAUAUGCAUUAUUUGUAAAAACGAAAUAAAUCACAAAUAUUAAUAUUUUUAUGAACGAAAAUCAAACCCAUUAUAUACAUAUAUAUUCUACUAUAUAUUAAUUGAGAAGUCACUUAUAACUUUUGUUUAGGUGUCAUUCAUAUGUGAAAUUUAGAAUUAAUUCUUUUAAUUUGAUUGGUUGUUGGUAUUUGAAUUUUCAUUUAAUUAAAUUUUUUAAAAUGAGAUUAAUCCUAGAACUACCUAAUCUAAUCUAUAUCUCCAAUAUAUUAAUCAUCGAGCAUUACAACAUGUUUUUCGUAUCCACGUGUCAUCACAAUGAUGAUUCUUAGAAUCUAAUAAGUUGGUUCAAAUAUAUAUAUAUAUUAUACUUUUUAUUAAGGGGAUUUGCCAAAAGUAUUAUUUUCCUUGUACCCUAUUUCAUUUCUACCUUAACCAACUUUACCAUUAAAAUUUUAAUAGGCAAAAAAAUAUCAUUAUACUCCUAACUAAUUAAACCUAAAAAAAUUCUUUUCUUCCCCAAGAUUUCUUCAAAUCUCAGAUCCAAAAUGAACGAUACCAGUGAUCAAAUCCGACGAAUUAGACGAUGUUGACGAGUUCUCCGACAAAAUUUCUGACUAGUUGUACGGCGAGAUCCGACGACGCUGAUGAGCUCAAACGAACAAGACGAGUUCCCGGCGAGAUUUACGAACGCUGAAGAGUUUCCGACGAGAUCUAACGACGAGUUUUCCGGCGAGAUCUAACGAUGACGAGUUUUCCGACGAAGCUGACAGACUCUACAAGCUCAGACAAACGAGAAAAUCUCUUUCAAACGAACAAGACGAUCUCUCUCCCAACACCUAAGAAACGCUAACAAAGGUAAGAGGAUAAUAGAUGGUGAUUUUCGUCUCUUUCUGUAAUUGUAGGUUGGUUUAUCAAAAUCGAUCUGUUUCUGGAAAGGAAGACGAAAUUUUUCUCAUGAAGUUUUCAAAUCUCAAAUUUAUAAGACCUUAUAAAUUGGGUCCUUUCGAAUCUUACUGUUGAUUUGUUAGCAAUCAAAAGACAUAGAUCUUAACAUAUAUUUAAUUACUAACCUAAGAGUAAGAUUAUUCCAUGAUUACUUCUUCUCUUGGUUGAUCUGGUAAUGUUGCAGGGAAUUACAAAGGUGUGCUGUGAGCUUUUGGAUUUAAAGGAUGCUGUGGAGAAUAUGUGUGGUGAUAUGCAUAUCAAGUACCUCACUUUCUUGAGGUAAUACAAUGCUACUAUUUGUAGUUUGACUAGCAAGGUUUAGUAUGUGCAAUAUAUGAGGUGGAAGGUUGGUGUUUUGGUAAUGUAACGUUCUGUUUGGUACUUUAUGAGAUUCAUUUUUUUAUGUCUUGUUUUGUGUAUAAUAUCUAAAGAAGCAGUGGAGAUGGAACAUGAGUUUGUUGAGUUACGAAAGCAUAUUAUUUUUGAAUCUUGUUUUUGGAAGUGAGUGCUGAUGCGUAGGAAUAAUAUGUGAUUGGCUUGCGUUCAGAUUUUGAAGAUCGACGAGGUUGGUGAGCUGUUUGAAGAAGCAAGAGGGACUCUGACAAGAACGUGGUUUGUGCGAUCAAAGAAUUACAUUUUUGUAACGCUUUAUAAAAGUUGCAGAGUUGGCUUCUUAAUACAUUCUUCUCUCUCAUCUUCUUCAGACAUCUCUUAAUUAGGAUGCUGUCGCGUCCAAGGGCUCAGACCAUACUUGUAGAUGGAGCUCUUAGGGAGGGUGAGCCGCUGAUUCCACUUCCUUCAUUUGAGAUCUUGGUGCUUCUCACAUUCUCUUCUCCAUCCACAUGAGUUAAGGUAAGUAGUAGUAUUUAUAAAACUAAGCCUUGAAAUGAGCUUGUUUGAUUCUGAUCACAAGCAUGGUCUCUGUACAGUCUACAAAGAGGGUUGAGGCAAUAUAUCCCUUGCUGAAGGAUGUGGCUCUUUCUCCAGAUAUGCCUUUUUGUGUUGAUUGUAUUUUUGAGGGACUUUAGAAAAAUUAACUUGUAAGCCAUUAUAAAUCAUUUUAUAAAUCAUUUUUGAGUUCCUUAUACUUAUUCUGCCUAGCAUUCCUCACAAGACUUCUCAAGUUCACACAUUUAUAUGUUUUUAAUAGACAUAUGUGAUCAACUAUUGUUUAAGAACUUCUUUAUAAAGACUUAUAAAUUGUCGAGUCGUACUUUUAACAAUAUCCUGAAAUCCAGAUUUAUAAGGAAUUAUAAUUCUGUAAAAAUGUAGUGUUCACUAUCCGAAAAUCUUAAUCUUAACCAGAAUUAUUCAAAUAAAAAGUCCAACUAAGCCUUAUUUGCUUUUUGGAUAACAGAAGGACACAAAUCCUAAAAUUAACUCUUGUUCAAAAUUUUUUUUAUAAAGGCUUAUAAGUCGUCGAGUUGUACUUUUGACAAUAUCCUGAAAUCCAGAUUUAUACUUUAUAAAGGUCUAAAAAAAUUGGAACAACUUUAACUUUUAGUAACUAACUGCAUGAUUAAUGUUGUAGAGAGAAACUCACACACAUUCUAAGACUGAAUUGAACAACAUUAAAGAGUUGAUGAAGUCGGUUGUUUAGAACAUAUUCAUAUAAAUUGUUUUUAUAAAUAUUUUAUAAACUCUUAUAAAUUACUUACAUACCUUUAUAAACCCCUAGAAAAUUAUUUUAUUAAAUCUUAUAACUUGUUUAAUAAGCUUUUCUAAAUGGUUAUAGACUCUUAUAAUUGAUUUAAGAUCUCCAAUUGAUUUAAGAACCUGUAUAUACCUCUAUAAACCUUAUAAAUUAUAUACAUACCCCUUAUAAAAGGUUUAUAAAAUUUAUAAAUUGUUUUUAAUAAAAUUUUAUAAAUGAUUUAUAAACUCUUAUUAACUAUUUAUAUAUCCUUAUAAAGAUUAUUUUACAAACUCUUACAAAUUGUUUUUAUAAGUCUUUAUAAAUUGUUAUAGCCUCUUAUAAAUGAAUUAAGAGACUUUCUAAGUGAUUCAUAAACCAAUAAACCUUAUAAAUUGUAUGCAUAUCCCUUAUAAAUUGUUUAUAAACUUUCAUAACAUUUUUAUAAACAGUUAUAAAUGGUUUAUAGACUUUAUUAAUUGUUUUAUAAACCUUUAUAAAUGGAUUAGAGACUUUUACAAAUAAUUUAUAAACCUUUAUAAAUAGAUUAUAAACUUUACAAAUUGUUUUAUAAACUUUUAUAAAUAAUUUAUAAACUCUUAUUCGCUCUUCAUCUUUCCUUUGCUCUUCAUUUUUAUCUUCUUUCAUGUGUUAUUGCCUUAUAUCAUAUGUUGCAAAAUAUAAAUUCAAAUCCUUGUUCCCAUUAGCUUUUCUUCAUUUUAUAUCCUUGUUGAACUGUCAAGAUCCAUGUUAUCAAGAUCAGAAAGUGUUGGGUUCACGAAAUGUUUGUAUUCUUUAGGGAAUCCAAACACUGUAUUAACCACAAGAUGUAACAAAGAAUAAACAACGUUUUAGAAGUCUCUACAAAUAUCUAAUUUAUAAUUUUAUAACCCCCUAUAAAACUACAUUUAUAAUCUGUUAUAAAACACUUCGCAUUAUUGACAAAGACACCGAUUGGAUAAUCACUUUUGGAUUAUCUACCGGUUCUGUUCCAGCUUCAUAAAUCCUCAGAGGCAAUCUCAAAGAUGUGCAAAAUUCAUUGCUAUCUAACUGCAAGAUGAAAUAAAAAGAUGAUGUUAACUUUUAAUCAUGGUCUAAAGAUACCUUAUCUAAUCAUAAUGUUCAUGUAUUUCGAUAACAGCCUUACAAAGAAUAUAUGAUAAUAAAAGACGAGACUUCUCAAAUUCACACAUUUAUAUGUUUUUUAUAGACAUAUAUGAUCAACUCUUGUUUACAACCUUUAUUUAUAAAACCUUGUAUUGCAUUGAGUUGUACUAUCGACAAUAUCCUAAAACCCAGAUUUAUAAGAGGUUAUAAUUCUUUAAAAUGCAAUGUUCACUAUCCGAAAAUCUUUCUCCUAACCAGAACUAUUCAAAUGACAAGUCUAAAUCAACCUUAUUUGCUUUUUGGAUAACAGAGGCACAAAAAUCCUAAAAUUACUUGAACCCAAAUUCAUAAAGGUUUAUCAUUUUUUGAAAAUUCAAUGUUUACUAUCGAAACUCUUUCCNNNNNNNNNNNNNNNNNNNNNNNNNNNNNNNNNNNNNNNNNNNNNNNNNNNNNNNNNNNNNNNNNNNNNNNNNNNNNNNNNNNNNNNNNNNNNNNNNNNNNNNNNNNNNNNNNNNNNNNNNNNNNNNNNNNNNNNNNNNNNNNNNNNNNNNNNNNNNNNNNNNNNNNNNNNNNNNNNNNNNNNNNNNNNNNNNNNNNNNNNNNNNNNNNNNNNNNNNNNNNNNNNNNNNNNNNNNNNNNNNNNNNNNNNNNNNNNNNNNNNNNNNNNNNNNNNNNNNNNNNNNNNNNNNNNNNNNNNNNNNNNNNNNNNNNNNNNNNNNNNNNNNNNNNNNNNNNNNNNNNNNNNNNNNNNNNNNNNNNNNNNNNNNNNNNNNNNNNNNNNNNNNNAAAACCUUGAAUCUUGAUGGCCUUCAGGAUCAUAAAUAGUGGCUUGUAUGAUCCAUUAUAAACACUUCUAAAUUGAUUUAUAAUCACUUCAAAAUUGAUUUAUAAACCCUUAUAAAUUGUGCUAUGAAGAUUAUUAAAUUCUUAUAAUCUUUUGAAUAAACCCUUAUAAAUAGAUUUAUAUUUCUCAUAUAUGUGUUUUAUAAACUUUAUAGAUGGUUGAUACAAGGUUUUAUAAGCUCUUAUAAAAUUUAUAAAUGGUUCAUAAAUGGUUUUAUAAACUCUUAUAAAUGAUUUAUAUACAAAACUAUUUCAUAUAUCCAUAUGAUUGGUUUUAUAAACCUUUAUAAACAUACAUGAAUAGUUUUAUCCUGAGAACCAGACUGAAGGUUGAUGAACUGAGAGACCAGUAGCUUCGAGAUUCCACUUAUAGCUGCUUCCACCUCAUCUGGUUCCCUUGACCAUCUCAAUCCACAGUACUCGCCUGCUGCAACUUGCGUCUUCUUCGACGUAGCAAGAACUUUCUCCAAAUCCAACUGUGACAAUGGCCUAGGUACCUGACAAACAAAAUGAUAGCAACUCACAACAUCAACACUCUUGCAAAUUUGGUGAAUGCAACAGCACUGAACAUUUUCAUAUGAAACUUAGAGGACAUGGUCUCCAUUUUCUCUCUUCCUCUAGGAUUUCUCUGAUAGGGAAGUAAGCUUCUUUCUUGCAGAGCUCAAAGAUGUCCGAUCCGGUGUAGCCUUCGCAUAGACGAGCUAAGUGAUCGUAGUCAAUAUCGGGCUCCACCCUCUCUCCUUUCAGCGUCACUUUCAAUAUCUCAGCUCUCUCCUUACGUUCAGGCAUACCAAUCUCAAAGGCUUGAGGAAGACGCCUCAUUAUUGCUUCAUCAAGCUCUGAUGGUCUGUUUGUUGCAGCAAGUACCAUCACCCUCGCAUUCGCUACAAAGAAACCAUUAUACUCAUUAAAAAACUACUGUAUCGAAGUAGAGCAUGCUCUAGACUACACUAGAGUGGGCUGAAAGGUGAAGGAUUUAACUUAUGAUCAGUAGAAAAUCUAUCCCAUAAAGCCAUAAACUCAGUCUUCAUGUUUGCCAUUGCUUCAUGAUCUAUUGAAUGGGGCUGGUGAUAUAGGAUAAUAUAAGCAACAGUUUAAUGUUCAUGAUUUCAACAACAAUCUUACAGAGAAUAUAGGAUAAUACAAGCAACACUUCUCGAGUUCACACAUCUUAAAAUUACUUAAACCCAGAUUAAUAAAGGGUUAUAAUUUUUCGAAAACUCAAUAUUCGCUAUUGAUACUCUUUCUCUUAAAUCUAACUAGGGAAAUGAAAAUUUCUGAACCAACCAUCUUUCAUUUUUUGAUAAUAAAAAGAAGAAAAUAAAAAAUAACUUGGAACAAACAAAAAAUACCCAAAUUGGAAACAUAGUUGUUGAGAAUUUGGAAGAGGAGCCGACAUUUUGAAACGUGUAGUGUGAUUGCUCUUGUCGCCUGAGAUAGAUGAUCUCGAACUCGUCAUCACCGGAUGAUCUUUCCAGAGAGACAUUGUGACACAUGAGAGAGAAGAACUCAUCUCGUUGCCGUCGCGAGCACCGCCAUCGCGAGAAUUUUGGAGCUUUUGAAUAUCGGUUCUCUGAAAUCCUUCUGUCGCCGGCUGCUUGAGAGAGACGACGGAUCUUGUUGGAGAGAGGCGAUGGAUUUCGACGGAUGAGAGAGAUGUGGAUCUCGACGGGGAGAGAGAGAAGAAGUUGUGUUGAAAUUAGGUGAGGGUAGUAUAGUCUUUUACACAUUAAUGAAUGUGGUAUUUGUGAAAAUGUCAUUUGACUGGUGGUAUACUUGAUUAGUGGUACCCAAAAAAGUGUAUAAGUAAAAUUUCCCCUUUUAUUAAACUAAAUAUCAAAUUGAUUUGUAGUGUACAAAAAAAUAUUCUUAAUUCUUUCCUUAAAUAAAAGCUACAGAAUUACCUAAUAUGAUUAACAUAUAUAUGACAAUUAAUGAUUAUGAAUAACAUAUUUGAUAACAAUUUUUGUAUCCUCUUUCUUUUUGUCUAAUUUUAUAUUAUUAAAUUAAACUAAACAAUCAUAUUAAGCAUAUAAUAAAAAAAAUUAGAAUUUUUCUUAUAUGUUGUCUUUUGAAUUUUUAAAACGACUAUAAAUUACUUAAAAUGGUAAAAGUCUCCCAUUGAAAAUUUUGUGGUCAAUGGUUUGGUUUUUUUUUUUGUUUAAACAGGAUACAAACGAUCAUAAAUAGUAUGAAUAUGAAGUCUCACUAAUAGAUAUUCAUAAUAUAUAUAUAUAUAUAUAUAUAUAUAUAUAUAUAUUAAUCAUNNNNNNNNNNNNNNNNNNNNNNNNNNNNNNNNNNNNNNNNNNNNNNNNNNNNNNNNNNNNNNNNNNNNNNNNNNNNNNNNNNNNNNNNNNNNNNNNNNNNNNNNNNNNNNNNNNNNNNNNNNNNNNNNNNUAUAUAUAUUAUUUCAUUCAUAGAUAUAUUAUUUCAUUCAGAUUAAAUGUUUUAGUCUUUAUUUUUAUUCCUAAAAACUUUUAAUGAAAUAUCAUGACAAGAUUCCAAUCAUCUCCUUUUGAGUUUAUUCGAAGAAUGAGAUAUUUGAUCGUUCGUGUAAUAUUUGUUUCUCCCUAAUACACUAUCUAGCUAUUAUAAUUGUAAGAAUGAGAGUUUUGAAAGUUCUUACUUUAUACAUAGUUUACAUAUACUAGAAUGGUAAAAUAUUAUAUAUAUUUUUUAUCAGUAUACUCUUAAGUAACUAAACCUCAAAAGUGUAGGUUAAUAAAAUAAAUAAUUUGUUUUGUUGUUCUAGAAUUAGAUGAUUUUUAGACCGAACUGGUGAAUAUAUACUAGACAGACAUUUAUAAUUCGAGUCUGCACUUAUAUACUAUAACAGCUUGAUAUAUUAGAUCUGAACACUAAGUUGUGAAUAGAGUUUGCAGGUGAUUUUCUUCAAAACUUUGAUUCUUAGAUAUGUAUCUAAAGUAGAACUAAUUUUUACAGAUGUACAUCUUUUUAAAUUGACACUUAUGUAUUUCACCAAAUUCACAGAAGAAGAUAAAAAAUAGACAAAAUUCAUAUCGGUGAAACAAAAAAGAGAACGAAAGCACAAUUUUAUAGAGGUAAAAAAUGAAAUCACUUAUGUAGAUUCAAUAGUAAACAAAUCAAGAGCAGAAAACCUAAUCCCUUCUUGCAUUUUACGAUCGAUUUUGCCUAUCUGUUUUUAUUUUUUUUGUGUCAGCCGCAAAACUUAAUUUCUUUUUAUGAAUCUGAAGUCUUAAAAUAAUUAAAAUGAGUUGUAAUACGUUAACUCUUCAAAAACGAUGAUACAUUUAAGAGACCAACAUUUGUAUUCGUCAUUUUACAAUCGAUAAAGAUUGUAGUGUUGCAAAAUGUUAAACCAUUUAAUGAACAAACAUUAGUAUAAGAAACUCGUUCUCACUACAAGAAAACAUAAUCUUAACGAGGACAGUUUUCCUCGUGAGUUCGUCGUAAAAAAAGCUUUACGACGAAUUAGCGAGGAAACACGUUUGCUCGUUACUUAUCCGUCGUAACACAUAUUUUUUCGCCAAUUCGUCGUAACUUAGCGAGGAAAAUAUUUCAUCGUAAAGACGAAGUACAUCAUUUCGUCGUAAAGACCACAUAAAUAUUCCACGUAAGGAGGUCGCUAUAUUUUCUCGUAAAUACCUCGAAACGAGUUCCUCGUAAACUACACGUAAAAACCUUGAAAGUGUUUCCUCGCAAAAUAUACGUAACUACCACGAAAGUAUUUCCUCGUAAAAUACUUGUUUAUCUUUCAUCGUCAUUUCCCCGUAAAUGUUUUCUCGUAAAGUUCUCGUUUAUUUUUUCUCGUCAUUUCCUCGUAAGGUUUCCACGUAAAUAGGUCGUACAAUAGCUACGAAUUUACUUCGUUUUUAUUAUUUUACUGAAUUUAAAAAUACAAUUAAAAAAAUAAUUAAAAUUAUUGAAUUAUUAAUAAAAUUAUAAUUUAAAAUAAAAAUAAAUCACUACGAAAAUAUUUUAUAUAUAAAUAAGUUUUGAAUUUAUAAUACAACAACCGGAAAAAAAAAGAACUAAGGGUCGUUCAUCGCCUGGUAGAAUUCAUCACUCCUCUUCGCAACAUCCGCCUCGUUAUGUAUGUCUGAUGACUCGCCUCGAAUGGGAUGUUGUUGUCGCAUGUUUCUCAACAUGGACUCCCAUUACGGAUUUGUGGCCGCUAUAACGUCCAAGAAGCCCUCGACUCCACCCAUACGAGAUUUUGUCGCGGCCAACUCGUUACGCAGCUCAGUGACUUCAUCAUCCAGCUCAGUGACUUCAUCAUCCCGUCGCUGACCAUAAGACGAUGUCGCUCUCGGAACAUCGUUGACGGAACCAAUACCCAACGUCCGUCCCUUUUUUUUAGGGACAACCUUAAAAACAAAAAAUAAAUAUUGUAAGUAAAAAUUUAAAGUUAAAUUAAAUGAAUAAUUAAAAAUUAAUUUUUUUGAAAAUUUACCUCCUCGUAAAUCUUAUCCACUUCAAGUGUGGAUAAGGUGACGGGUAAUCCGUCGGUAGACUGCUGGGUCAGCUGAGUCUGGCGGUCUUCAACCCGAGCAACUACGUCGUUGUAGAUUUGCUCGGACUUGCCAUCUACAAAUACGCCCGCCUUGUUCUUGUGGGUCCUCUCGUAAAGUUCCAUAAGAGACGGGAGAUGUCCCGUCUCUUUGGCCUAAAAAACAGUUAAGAAAGUUAGAAUAAAUAAAUAUAUAUAUUAAAAAAAUUAUUUAAUAAAAUAUUUAAUUACCAUUUCCAAACGGACACCGGCGUGGGGUUUUUGGCCCGUAGUGUGAAGCAUCGGCCCGUUCCCGUGCUCAUCGACCGUGUUACGGGAGUUAGAGCAAGCCUGGGCGAUUCUAAUGGAAUCAGGAAGGCGCCAAUAACGGAUGAGGCCAUCCCACACAUCCGUGGUGAGCUCAGCGGGUUUGCCACGCUCAUACCCCUUCACGAUCCAGUCACCCUUCCAGUUGGAGACCGUGUCCAACAAGCGAACUUUCGCCUUCGCGUUAAACUUCUUCCUCACCCUCUCAGUGAUCCCCAAGGCCCAAUUAUAUUUUUGCUGUUGGAAAAAAUAAAUUAACAAUUAGUUUUUUAGAAAGUAUAUAUAUAAAUCAUGAAAAAAUUAAAAUAUAUAUAAUUAAUUAAUAGAAACUUACAGCGUAAAUUUUGAACCACGUCUUUCUGACGUAGUGAGGCGUCUUACUCCAGUUUGGAUGUGGCAUGGAGAAGUAACCCUUGAUCGUGUCGGUUACGUCCGAUGCAAGACAUCCGUCAACCCCCCACCUGGAAAAUACAAAUUUAAAAUUUAAAUUAUUUUUUAAUGUUAUAAAAGAAUUUUAAACGAAUUAAAAAAAAAUUAAUGCAACAUACCACAAAGUUCCGUCCGGUCGGUCGGGGUCGAUGAAUGGUAAACCUUCUCUGCCUGGCAGACGGAGAAUGUCCUCUACAGUGUACUGCGAGUAAAGAGCACUAGGAGGCAGCAUCAAAUCAGGAUGAAUAUCGGCGGCCAUCGGAGGUGCCAUCGGAGGAGGCACAGGAGGAGGCAUCGUCGGAUGAGCCAUCAGAGAAGGCACAUGAGGAGCCGAUGGUGCACUAGAAGAAGUAGACCCAGAGACUCUCUGAGUGUACUGAGUCUCGGGGACAAUCUACUGACCCGAAGAACCGGGAGCUGAAGAAGAGGCCGGGUCUAAACGACUACCCGGCUCACCGAACAUCUCUCUGUAAUGGGCAGUAAGUCUUCUUUUUCGAACCUGGAAACAAAAUUUAAUUUUUAAAAUUAACAUCAACAGUAUAUUUCCAAGCAUUAUCCACCUAAUCAACACUAAAUAACAUAAAAUCCGUAAACCUAUCUAAAUUCCCUAUACUAACCACCUAAUCUAUCCUAAACUAACCAAAUUAGAGAGGAAUUAGAGAGGCUUACCAUUGCUACGAAAUGGAGAGGAAGUGGAGAGGAAGUAGAGAGAAAAGAAAGAGUGAGCGCUCGGGGGUAUAUAUAAGAUUACAUAUCGUCGCAAAUUCCUCGUAAGGUUACGACGAAAUAGCGAGCAGUUACAAAGGCCCGUGUUUUUUUGUACGAGGAAACAGCGAAGAAUUACAAAGGCCCGUGUUUUUAUAUACGAGGUAUUAACGACGAUUUUGCUUACGUGGAAUUAACGAGCCACGCUUUCCUAUAAAUAUACCCACAACUCUCAUUCUCAAACCACACAUAAACUCCCAAAUCACACUCUAUCUCAAAUCACAUUCCUCAGCAAAAUCCUAUUCAAAUUAUAAAUAUUUGAAAAAAAAGGAAAAGGAGAAGAUAUUAGAAUUCAUGUGGGCGAGACUUACGUAUUAUAAUUGCUGGAAGUCUUGCCACAUGUUUAUCUGGUAUUUUUCUCCUUUUUCUUUUUUUUCUAGUUUUUACACUACGAGGUAUUUACGACGAUUUUUGCUUACGUGGUGUUUACGACGAUUUCUGUUUACGUAGAAUUAACGAGUGUUAUGUUUAAAUUAUUUUACGUGGUGUUUACGACGAUUCCUUUUACGUGGUGUUUACGACGAUUUCUUCAUACGUGGAAUUAACAAGUGUUAUGUUUAAAUCCCUAAAAUCCGAAACCCCAAACCCCAUAUUUCUUAUUUUCUACUUCAUAUAUUCCAAACCCCAUCUUUAUUUUUAAAUUUCGUCGUUAUUUCCUCGUUGGCCUACGUGGUCUUUACGACGAUUUCACAUACGUGGUAUUUACGACGAUUUCAUCCUGCGUGGUGUUUACGACGAUUUGCGCUUACGUGGAAUUAACGAGCCCCGCGUUCUUUAUUUUUAUAUUUCGUCGUUAUUUCCUCGUUGGCUUACGAGUCCUUUACGACGAUUUUUGCUUACGUGGAAUUAACGAAUGUUAUGUUUAAAUCUCUAAGAUCCGAAACCCCAAACCCCAUAUUCCUUAUUUUCUACUUCAUAUAUUCCAAACCCCAUCUUUAUUUUUAAAUUUCGUCGUUAUUUCCUCGUUGGCUUACGAGUCCUUUACGACGAUUUUUGCUUACGUGGAAUUAACGAAUGUUAUGUUUAAAUCUCUAAGAUCCGAAACCCCAAACCCCAUAUUCCUUAUUUUCUACUUCAUAUAUUCCAAACCCCAUCUUUAUUUUUAAAUUUCGUCGUUAUUUCCUCGUUGGCUUACGAGUCCUUUACGACGAUUUUUGCUUACGUGGAAUUAACGAAUGUUAUGUUUAAAUCUCUAAGAUCCGAAACCCCAAACCCCAUAUUCCUUAUUUUCUACUUCAUAUAUUCCAAACCCCAUCUUUAUUUUUAAAUUUCGUCGUUAUUUCCUCGUUGGCUUACGAGUCCUUUACGACGAUUUUUGCUUACGUGGAAUUAACGAAUGUUAUGUUUAAAUCUCUAAGAUCCGAAACCCCAAACCCCAUAUUCCUUAUUUUCUACUUCAUAUAUUCCAAACCCCAUCUUUAUUUUUAAAUUUCGUCGUUAUUUCCUCGUUGGCUUACGAGUCCUUUACGACGAUUUUUGCUUACGUGGAAUUAACGAAUGUUAUGUUUAAAUCUCUAAGAUCCGAAACCCCAAACCCCAUAUUCCUUAUUUUCUACUUCAUAUAUUCCAAACCCCAUCUUUAUUUUUAAAUUUCGUCGUUAUUUCCUCGUUGGCUUACGAGUCCUUUACGACGAUUUUUGCUUACGUGGAAUUAACGAAUGUUAUGUUUAAAUCUCUAAGAUCCGAAACCCCAAACCCCAUAUUCCUUAUUUUCUACUUCAUAUAUUCCAAACCCCAUCUUUAUUUUUAAAUUUCGUCGUUAUUUCCUCGUUGGCUUACGAGUCCUUUACGACGAUUUUUGCUUACGUGGAAUUAACGAAUGUUAUGUUUAAAUCUCUAAGAUCCGAAACCCCAAACCCCAUAUUCCUUAUUUUCUACUUCAUAUAUUCCAAACCCCAUCUUUAUUUUUAAAUUUCGUCGUUAUUUCCUCGUUGGCUUACGAGUCCUUUACGACGAUUUUUGCUUACGUGGAAUUAACGAAUGUUAUGUUUAAAUCUCUAAGAUCCGAAACCCCAAACCCCAUAUUCCUUAUUUUCUACUUCAUAUAUUCCAAACCCCAUCUUUAUUUUUAAAUUUCGUCGUUAUUUCCUCGUUGGCUUACGAGUCCUUUACGACGAUUUUUGCUUACGUGGAAUUAACGAAUGUUAUGUUUAAAUCUCUAAGAUCCGAAACCCCAAACCCCAUAUUCCUUAUUUUCUACUUCAUAUAUUCCAAACCCCAUCUUUAUUUUUAAAUUUCGUCGUUAUUUCCUCGUUGGCUUACGAGUCCUUUACGACGAUUUUUGCUUACGUGGAAUUAACGAAUGUUAUGUUUAAAUCUCUAAGAUCCGAAACCCCAAACCCCAUAUUCCUUAUUUUCUACUUCAUAUAUUCCAAACCCCAUCUUUAUUUUUAAAUUUCGUCGUUAUUUCCUCGUUGGCUUACGAGUCCUUUACGACGAUUUUUGCUUACGUGGAAUUAACGAAUGUUAUGUUUAAAUCUCUAAGAUCCGAAACCCCAAACCCCAUAUUCCUUAUUUUCUACUUCAUAUAUUCCAAACCCCAUCUUUAUUUUUAAAUUUCGUCGUUAUUUCCUCGUUGGCUUACGAGUCCUUUACGACGAUUUUUGCUUACGUGGAAUUAACGAAUGUUAUGUUUAAAUCUCUAAGAUCCGAAACCCCAAACCCCAUAUUCCUUAUUUUCUACUUCAUAUAUUCCAAACCCCAUCUUUAUUUUUAAAUUUCGUCGUUAUUUCCUCGUUGGCUUACGAGUCCUUUACGACGAUUUUUGCUUACGUGGAAUUAACGAAUGUUAUGUUUAAAUCUCUAAGAUCCGAAACCCCAAACCCCAUAUUCCUUAUUUUCUACUUCAUAUAUUCCAAACCCCAUCUUUAUUUUUAAAUUUCGUCGUUAUUUCCUCGUUGGCUUACGAGUCCUUUACGACGAUUUUUGCUUACGUGGAAUUAACGAAUGUUAUGUUUAAAUCUCUAAGAUCCGAAACCCCAAACCCCAUAUUCCUUAUUUUCUACUUCAUAUAUUCCAAACCCCAUCUUUAUUUUUAAAUUUCGUCGUUAUUUCCUCGUUGGCUUACGAGUCCUUUACGACGAUUUUUGCUUACGUGGAAUUAACGAAUGUUAUGUUUAAAUCUCUAAGAUCCGAAACCCCAAACCCCAUAUUCCUUAUUUUCUACUUCAUAUAUUCCAAACCCCAUCUUUAUUUUUAAAUUUCGUCGUUAUUUCCUCGUUGGCUUACGAGUCCUUUACGACGAUUUUUGCUUACGUGGAAUUAACGAAUGUUAUGUUUAAAUCUCUAAGAUCCGAAACCCCAAACCCCAUAUUCCUUAUUUUCUACUUCAUAUAUUCCAAACCCCAUCUUUAUUUUUAAAUUUCGUCGUUAUUUCCUCGUUGGCUUACGAGUCCUUUACGACGAUUUUUGCUUACGUGGAAUUAACGAAUGUUAUGUUUAAAUCUCUAAGAUCCGAAACCCCAAACCCCAUAUUCCUUAUUUUCUACUUCAUAUAUUCCAAACCCCAUCUUUAUUUUUAAAUUUCGUCGUUAUUUCCUCGUUGGCUUACGAGUCCUUUACGACGAUUUUUGCUUACGUGGAAUUAACGAAUGUUAUGUUUAAAUCUCUAAGAUCCGAAACCCCAAACCCCAUAUUCCUUAUUUUCUACUUCAUAUAUUCCAAACCCCAUCUUUAUUUUUAAAUUUCGUCGUUAUUUCCUCGUUGGCUUACGAGUCCUUUACGACGAUUUUUGCUUACGUGGAAUUAACGAAUGUUAUGUUUAAAUCUCUAAGAUCCGAAACCCCAAACCCCAUAUUCCUUAUUUUCUACUUCAUAUAUUCCAAACCCCAUCUUUAUUUUUAAAUUUCGUCGUUAUUUCCUCGUUGGCUUACGAGUCCUUUACGACGAUUUUUGCUUACGUGGAAUUAACGAAUGUUAUGUUUAAAUCUCUAAGAUCCGAAACCCCAAACCCCAUAUUCCUUAUUUUCUACUUCAUAUAUUCCAAACCCCAUCUUUAUUUUUAAAUUUCGUCGUUAUUUCCUCGUUGGCUUACGAGUCCUUUACGACGAUUUUUGCUUACGUGGAAUUAACGAAUGUUAUGUUUAAAUCUCUAAGAUCCGAAACCCCAAACCCCAUAUUCCUUAUUUUCUACUUCAUAUAUUCCAAACCCCAUCUUUAUUUUUAAAUUUCGUCGUUAUUUCCUCGUUGGCUUACGAGUCCUUUACGACGAUUUUUGCUUACGUGGAAUUAACGAAUGUUAUGUUUAAAUCUCUAAGAUCCGAAACCCCAAACCCCAUAUUCCUUAUUUUCUACUUCAUAUAUUCCAAACCCCAUCUUUAUUUUUAAAUUUCGUCGUUAUUUCCUCGUUGGCUUACGAGUCCUUUACGACGAUUUUUGCUUACGUGGAAUUAACGAAUGUUAUGUUUAAAUCUCUAAGAUCCGAAACCCCAAACCCCAUAUUCCUUAUUUUCUACUUCAUAUAUUCCAAACCCCAUCUUUAUUUUUAAAUUUCGUCGUUAUUUCCUCGUUGGCUUACGAGUCCUUUACGACGAUUUUUGCUUACGUGGAAUUAACGAAUGUUAUGUUUAAAUCUCUAAGAUCCGAAACCCCAAACCCCAUAUUCCUUAUUUUCUACUUCAUAUAUUCCAAACCCCAUCUUUAUUUUUAAAUUUCGUCGUUAUUUCCUCGUUGGCUUACGAGUCCUUUACGACGAUUUUUGCUUACGUGGAAUUAACGAAUGUUAUGUUUAAAUCUCUAAGAUCCGAAACCCCAAACCCCAUAUUCCUUAUUUUCUACUUCAUAUAUUCCAAACCCCAUCUUUAUUUUUAAAUUUCGUCGUUAUUUCCUCGUUGGCUUACGAGUCCUUUACGACGAUUUUUGCUUACGUGGAAUUAACGAAUGUUAUGUUUAAAUCUCUAAGAUCCGAAACCCCAAACCCCAUAUUCCUUAUUUUCUACUUCAUAUAUUCCAAACCCCAUCUUUAUUUUUAAAUUUCGUCGUUAUUUCCUCGUUGGCUUACGAGUCCUUUACGACGAUUUUUGCUUACGUGGAAUUAACGAAUGUUAUGUUUAAAUCUCUAAGAUCCGAAACCCCAAACCCCAUAUUCCUUAUUUUCUACUUCAUAUAUUCCAAACCCCAUCUUUAUUUUUAAAUUUCGUCGUUAUUUCCUCGUUGGCUUACGAGUCCUUUACGACGAUUUUUGCUUACGUGGAAUUAACGAAUGUUAUGUUUAAAUCUCUAAGAUCCGAAACCCCAAACCCCAUAUUCCUUAUUUUCUACUUCAUAUAUUCCAAACCCCAUCUUUAUUUUUAAAUUUCGUCGUUAUUUCCUCGUUGGCUUACGAGUCCUUUACGACGAUUUUUGCUUACGUGGAAUUAACGAAUGUUAUGUUUAAAUCUCUAAGAUCCGAAACCCCAAACCCCAUAUUCCUUAUUUUCUACUUCAUAUAUUCCAAACCCCAUCUUUAUUUUUAAAUUUCGUCGUUAUUUCCUCGUUGGCCUACGUGGUCUUUACGACGAUUUCACAUACGUGGUAUUUACGACGAUUUCAUCCUGCGUGGUGUUUACGACGAUUUGCGCUUACGUGGAAUUAACGAGCCCCGCGUUCUUUAUUUUUAUAUUUCGUCGUUAUUUCCUCGUUGGCUUACGAGUCCUUUACGACGAUUUUUACAUACGUGGAAUUAACGAGUGUUAUGUUUAAAUCCUUAGAAUCCGAAACCCCAAACCCCAUAUUCCUUAUUUUCUACAUCAUAUAUUCCAAACUCCAUCAUUAUUUCCAUUCCAAACCACAAUUCCCACAUUUGCUUAUUCAUAAAACAAAGUCCGACAUUACCUUAUUCAUAAAACAAACUCCCACAUCUUAUUCAUAAAACACAAACUCCCUCAUCUUAUUCAUAAAACAAAUACAUCAAUCGGAUACAUCGACAUUCUCGUCAUCACUAGAAACAUCAUCAUUUUCAUUAAACUCGUCUUCAACAGCUUCGUCUGUGGCAUCAUCGGUAAGAUCUUCGUACUCGUGAUUAUGCGGAUCAAUGAGAAGGAUGUCAUCAAUUUCUUGUUCAGGUUCCUCGACUUCAUUUAUCUGUUCUUCUUGCAAUGGUGGUUCUUCUCCACUGAUGAUUCGUCCUCGAGGUGUAACUUUGAUCACUGCUAACCAAUUUAUACNNNNNNNNNNNNNNNNNNNNNNNNNNNNNNNNNNNNNNNNNNNNNNNNNNNNNNNNNNNNNNNNNNNNNNNNNNNNNNNNNNNNNNNNNNNNNNNNNNNNNNNNNNNNNNNNNNNNNNNNNNNNNNNNNNNNNNNNNNNNNNNNNNNNNNNNNNNAAAUAUCUUCUCCAAGUUGCACAAUAAGAUGGGAAUGUUCUCCUGAAGCUGUUCCACAACUUCUUCUUUAAGAGUGUGUGUGCUCAGAUCUCUAAAAAUGCUCCAAUGCCUUUUAUAUUCCAAAAAAAAUUAAACACAUUGUUAGUCAUAUAUUAUUUUGCAAAUUAGACCGUUAUAAAAUUAUUGUGAUAUAAUACACUACGUACCUGCAAGUGCUUCAUGUACGUUUGUUGGAAGUAGCUCCGCAAAUGCAAAGGGCAGUAGUCGUUGCAUAAAGACAUGACAAUCAUGACUCUUCAUCCCGAAGAAAUUUUGACCCUUUUCAACAUAUCUAGAGAGAUUCGAAACAUAGCCAUCGGGGAACUUCACUUCUGAUGCCACCCAGUUGAACAACACCGAUUUUUUUUCUGAAGAUAAUUUGAAUAUCAGAACGGGAACUUUUCCAUUGCUUUUAAUAUGUAACUCUCUUCUUGAGAAAAUAUCCGGCAAGUCCAACCUCGAUUUUAUGUUGUCUUUUGUCUUCCCUGGGACAUUCAAUAUUGUAUUCAUGAUGUUCUCAAAGAAAUUCUUCUCUAUAUGCAUCACAUCGAGGUUGUGGCGCAGAAGAAGAUCCUUCCAAUAUGGCAACUCCCAAAAUAUACUCUUCUUGUGCCAGUUGUGAUGAACACCGUAAGAAUCAGGCAUAUUACGAGGGACAUGCCAAUUACCACCCCAACGAACUGUUUCGUUAGCUCCGUAGUAGUCGAUUUGCGCUUCAAUUUGUUCUCCAGUUAGAUAUGGAGGAGGAGUGUCUCUCACAACCCUUUUGUGCCUAAACAAAUUCUUGUUUCUUCGGUAAGGAUGGCCAAUGGGAAGAAAUCGACGGUGACAAUCAAACCAACUUGUCUUCCUACCAUUCUUCAAUUGAAACGCAUAUGUCGUUCCAUUACAAUAUGGACAAGCUAAUUUCACAUGUGUAGUCCUUCCAGACAACAUCCCAUAGGCAGGAAAAUCACUUAUGGUCCACAAAAGCAUCGCUCGCAUCGUAAAAUUCNNNNNNNNNNNNNNNNNNNNNNNNNNNNNNNNNNNNNNNNNNNNNNNNNNNNNNNNNNNNNNNNNNNNNNNNNNNNNNNNNNNNNNNNNNNNNNNNNNNNNNNNNNNNNNNNNNNNNNNNNNNNNNNNNNNNNNNNNNNNNNNNNNNNNNNNNNNNNNNNNNNNNNNNNNNNNNNNNNNNNNNNNNNNNNNNNNNNNNNNNNNNNNNNNNNNNNNNNNNNNNNNNNNNNNNNNNNNNNNNNNNNNNNNNNNNNNNNNNNNNNNNNNNNNNNNNNNNNNNNNNNNNNNNNNNNNNNNNNNNNNNNNNNNNNNNNNNNNNNNNNNNNNNNNNNNNNNNNNNNNNNNNNNNNNNNNNNNNNNNNNNNNNNNNNNNNNNNNNNNNNNNNNNNNNNNNNNNNNNNNNNNNNNNNNNNNNNNNNNNNNNNNNNNNNNNNNNNNNNNNNNNNNNNNNNNNNNNNNNNNNNNNNNNNNNNNNNNNNNNNNNNNNNNNNNNNNNNNNNNNNNNNNNNNNNNNNNNNNNNNNNNNNNNNNNNNNNNNNNNNNNNNNNNNNNNNNNNNNNNNNNNNNNNNNNNNNNNNNNNNNNNNNNNNNNNNNNNNNNNNNNNNNNNNNNNNNNNNNNNNNNNNNNNNNNNNNNNNNNNNNNNNNNNNNNNNNNNNNNNNNNNNNNNNNNNNNNNNNNNNNNNNNNNNNNNNNNNNNNNNNNNNNNNNNNNNNNNNNNNNNNNNNNNNNNNNNNNNNNNNNNCGCAAGGUAUUCUUUCGUCACUCUCCCGUUAGCAUCUCUAUGCAUAUACAUCCACUUCCGCAACUCGUAAAUAGUCCCGGAGCCAGCCAUUUUUUUUUCUUUCACGUUUUUUGUUGUUGGUGUGUUUAAAAUGAUGUUCAAACAUCCAUAUUUAUAGGAAAUUUCGAAUCUGGUAGUUGUAAUUUUCCUAUGAAUUUACGACGAAAAUUAAUUAGGGGGCAAAAAAAACGUGUAACACCUACAAAGUUGGUGGAUUCAAAAUUUCCUCGCUAAAUACACAUAAAUUAUUUCCUCGUAAAUAAUAAGAAAAGUUUACGUCGUAUUUACGAGGAAAUAGUAUUUCUUCGUAAAAUACUCGUCAAAUUACAUCCACUUUAGGACGAAACGCUUUUGUCGUUACUUUACGAGGAAAUAACGAUGACAUUAGUUUUCCACGUAAGUUUCUCGUAAAAUCGACGUAAAUUUACGAGGAUUGUUUUUCCUCGUCAAAUUUCCUCGUUAAGCAUGUGUUUUCUUGUAGUGUCUGCGCAUGCGCACGGAUUAUCAUCUAGUUAUCAUAUAAACAAUUAAACAUUUUAAAGAUAUAAUAAUUAACAUAAUCUGUUUAUUGGAACAAUUAAAUAUCAUAGAUUACAUUAUAGAAAUUUAGAAUAUACUUAUAAAUACAUAUGAUAUGAUUGAAAUAAUUAUGUAAAUGAUUUUAAACAUAUUUUUGUCAAUAGUGGAUACAAUAAAUCAUAGAUUACAGAAAAUUAAUUAACCUAAGGGGAAAUUUUUUGUUUACCACUUUCAUCGUACCACUUUUCAUCUUUACCACCACUAAAAAGACAUUUUCAAAAAUACAUUAUUCAUUAAGUGGUAAAAGACUCUUAUACCCUUGUUAUCUAUAUAUAUAUAUAAUAACUCAUAAUUUAAAUAAAAAAAAUAAAAUAUAAAAAUAAAAAAUAAAAAAUAAUUUUUUUUUAUGUUUUUAAAUUAUACAUUUUCAAAUUCAAACAUUUUUAUAAAAUUUUUUAAUUUUUUUUCACAAUUUCUUUUUGAAAAUCGAAAAUUAUGUUUGAAACUAUUUUAAAAUUUUUUUUAUAUAUUUUAAGUAUUUAUUUAUAUAUUUAUUAGAUUCCUAAAUUUCACCUUCCAAAAAUCAUACCCCACCCCUUACUCUAAACCUAAGUCUGGAUUAGUUAACUCUUAGGGUAUAAGUGUCUUUUACCCUUCAUUAAAAAUAAGGAUAAAAGUGGUUAAUGUAAACGUGAAAAGUGGUACUAUGAAUGUGGUAUUUGUUGCAAUUUUCCUUAACCUAAACCUAAUAAUAUUUUGUUAUACUCACUAUAUAUAUAUAUUCUAAAAACUUUAUAUAUUAAUAUAUUUAACACAAAAUUGAAAUAUUUGUAUAUUUAAAAACAGAAAAAGUAAGUCUUUUAAAAUAAUACUAAUAAAUGAAAUAUUUAUCAUAAUAUAAAAUUGAAAAAUUAUUUGGGACAUUGCCACAAAUACCACAUUCAUAGUACCACUUUUCAUGUUUACACUCAUCACUUUUACUCUCGCUUUUAAUGAAGGGUAAAAGACACUUAUACUUUUUUUUUGAACUAGAUACUUAUACCCAUAGGGUUUAUUAAUCUAGACUUACGGUUUAGAGUUGAGGGGUGAGAUAAGGUUAUUGGAAUGUGAAAUUUAGGAUUCUAAUAAAUAUAUAAAUAAAUACUUUAAAAAUAUAAUUUUUUUUAACAAAAAUAGUUUCAAACAUAAUUUUCGAUUUUUCAAAAAGAAAUUUUGAAAAAUAAAAUAAAAAAAAUUAGAAAAAAAAGUUCAAAAUUUUUUUUUUAUAAAAAAGUUCAAAUUUGAAAAAGUAUAAUUCGAAAACAUAAAAAAAUAUUAUUUUUUUUUAUUUUUUAUUUAUUUUUAAAACAUUUAUUUAAAUAAUGAUAGGUAUUUUUGAAAAUGUCUCUUUAGUGGUGGUAAAGAUGAAAAGUGGUACCAUGAAAGUGAUAAACAUAAAAUUUCCCCAAAUGAUAUUAAUAGGAGACUAGAGUUAAUAUACUCUAUUAGUAUAAUUAUUAUAGUUUUCAUUAUAAUAAAACUAUAUGUUAAAUCAUUUAAAAUAAUAUUAAUCAAUGAAUUUUUGUAUUAUAAUAUAAAUUGAAGAAACUUAAACAGUAUAUUAAUAGGAGACUAGAGUUAAGACUAUAUAUUGAUACAGUUUUGGUUAUAAUAAAAUUGACAUGCUUAUUUUUGUAAUAUAAAAAAGAAAGGAUAGAUAUAUAUAUAUAACAUGAGUGAAGAAUAAUAAAACUUGUUUGUUGUAUUCUUGAUUAUUUUAUUCUGUUACGUACUUAAUUUUUUAUUUAUUUUCCGAAAACAUGUGUCUUAAGUAUUACUAUAACUUUUAAUUAAUUAAUUUCAUCUGUCUUUAUAACAUGAAGACAAAUUAAGUAAGGAAGAUCAAUAUAGAUGAUAAGUUCUAAAAUUUAUACGGUCGAAGAUGAAAAAUAUAAAGUAAAUUGAAUUUUUAAAAACUUUAUUUACAAAAUAAUUAUAUGUAUUUUUUGCGGUAAAAUAAUCUGUUACAAGGUAUGAUAAAAAAUUUCUAAGAAAGUUUAUACAAAUAGAAUCAUGUUGUUUUGAUGUAAUAAAAUUACUGAAUAUCAUAUUAUAUUAAGUAUAUAUGUCUAAAAUUCUAACUUCAUGUUAUUUAAAAUUUUAAAAAUUAUUUUCUGAUAUAUAAUUAUUUAAUAAUAUUUAAUUAAAAGAUGUAUGUAUUAAAGUAACUUUUUUUAAAAUGAAAGGAAUACUUUUAAAUGAAUGAAAGUUUGAUACGAUAGUGUGAUGGUUGGAGAGAAUUUAAGGAUGCAUUUUUUUGGUUAACCAAUUGUGAGUGUUAUAUUAAACACUAAAUCAAAAAUGUAUAAGAAAGUGUGAUUUGUGAUUUGACAAAAUUACGGAAAUUUUGUAACUAUUUUACUUCUAAAUAAUAAAAUGGUAGACAAAAUAAUUUUGUAACUUGUUUGUUCGAAUUACGGUUGUAUUCCCUCGUUCAUUAAUCUUUGAUUUUUUAUUAAUCACAAAUUAUGUCAUAAAAAACUUUUGAAAACUUAUAUUUAAAUUUAUAGAAUUAUCAUUUUAUCUCAAUAAUCAUCUUAGAUUAUACAAUACCAGGAUUUUGAUUUUCAAACUAUUUGAAAUGAAAAUGUCAUUUUUAAUAGUUAUGAUUAUUAUUCAAAUAAUAUAUAAUUAUAAACAUAAUAUAUAAUUUUCAUACAAUGUUUAUAUCCGCAAAAUCUCGGGCAACCACCUAGCAUACAUAUAUUUAGAGAAUUUUUUAAUGACUUAUAUAAAUAUUAUAUUUAUACAAAUUUUACAAUAUUUUAUUUAUCAAAUUUAUUAUAUUAGUAAAUAAAUUUUUAUUUUUGUAAUAAAAUAUUGUUAUUUUGGAUUUUCAUAUAGAUUUUUAAAAUUUUACUAAGUACGCACUGGAUUCUAUGACUCUCAUCACCCUGUUACGAUUAGGCUUUGUAAUUCCUUUUUGGGCUUUUUAAAAACUUUAUACUUCGGCCGCACUAUUUUUUCCAAAAUUUUAAAACAUUUCAUUAAUUAUUUCGAAUAACAAGGGAAUACAACCGUAAUUCGAACAAACAAGUUACUUUACAAACUCCGGACCCAACACUAACAAAAGGCACACAGAUGAGUCGUUUUAAAAUUCAGGACCCGACAUUCUGGUUUUCGGUUAGUCGAGGUGGUAGAACAAUGCCUCCGCUUUCUCCUACCGUUAAUUCCAUUGUCCUCCACUGGUCGAACCUACGUAACAGAAACUGUUCUUUUGAUAAAAUCUAUUAUAUAUUAAAAGAGAAGCAAUGUAAUAAAUGCGUUCACACUAAAUUAGACACAUGUCACGUGUAAAAUAAUUGUAAUAAAUGCGUUCACACUAAAAUGGACACAUGUCACAUGUAGAUAGUUUCUCAGUCAAACUCUAUAUAAAUAUGUCUACACUAUGUAUUUUACGUUUUAUUAAUAUAAAACUCACAUGCAUGGUUCUUCUUUACGUUAUUUUGAUUUGAUUCAUUAUCCGUUUUGAUUCGAACCGAAAAAUCCGGAUAUCCGUUACUCUACGAAGCAAAUCAAAUACUAAAAUGCAAUAUCCGUAAAAAAAAGCAAAUCAUAAAUAUCAAUAUUUAUAGGAACGGAUAUCCAAUUUGAUCCGUUAUAUGCAUAUAUAUAUACUUAUAUUUAAAGAAUUAUAUAUAAGUUAUAUAUUAUAGUUUAUAUAAAUUUUACAAUAUUUUUUUUUUUAAAUAAUUUCAUCUUAAGAAUUUUGUUUUUAUGUAUUAUUUUGAAAAAAACGUCAUUUAAUAUUAAUUAACAAUAUCUUUAUAUAUUUAUCAACCAACUUUAUAUAUUUUUGCAUAUACAUACACAUACCUGUGCACAUUGACGUGAACAUCUUAUAACUAAGUAUUUACCACAACUGAAAUAUCUAUUUUUUUUGGAAGUUAAAAUAUUUUUUUUUCUUAAUGCUUCUUUCACUAUCGACCAAACUAUAAUAUGAAACCAUUGGUUCAACAUCACGACUAUCUAAGAUUCAUAACAUGAAAAAAAAUAAAUAAUAGUAAUUUUUGAUUAUCAGAGGAAAAAAUACCAAAAACAUCAAACAUUUUAACCGAAAAAAAACAAAUAAAUAUUGAUUUAAAAUGAUAGUUAUAUUUAAAGAGAUUAAAAACCAAAACACAACUUAAAACCGAACCGAUAUCCAGAUUAAACAGAUUAAUGUUUCCUUAUUAAAAAAUAACGAAACUAAUAAUCACACUCCGCGCAAGGUGCGGAUUAUUACCUAGUUAACAUGUUAUAAAAAUAGGACUUCUACAUAUAGUGUGAAAUACUGACCUAACUUGUCCACGUGGUUUGAUCGGUUUUGAUUCAAGAACUCGAAGCUUGUCUUUAACGCGCGUAAGUCUCUUCAUUAGAUUCACUCAACAAGCAGAGUGACAAUCAGUUGCCAUAGACUGGAUCGUAUUCUUAUUUAAUACCGUUAUUGAACUUCUUCUAGUUAAUGAAAUGUGAAAUUUUCAUGUUUAUCAUUUUUUUAAUACCGUUAUUCAUGUUUACCGAUAUGAAAGAGACAUUUUCAAAAAUACAUUUUUAUUAAUUGGCAAAAGACUCUUAUACUCUUGUUUUCUAUACAUAUAAUAAAUAAUUAUUUAAAAAAUAAAACAAAAAUAAUUUUUUUCUUAUGUUUUCGAAUUAUACAUCUCAAAUUCAACCAUUUUAAUAAAUUUUUUUCUUCUGAAUUUUUUUUUCGAAAUUUGUUUUUUCAAAAAAAAAAUUUCAAAUUAAAAUUUUUUUUGAAAUUUUUUUUUUAAUUUUGUUAAUUAUUUAUUUAUAUAUUUAUUAGAAUCUUAAAUUUCAAAUUCCAAAAACUCUACCAUAUUCCUCAACUCUAAAUCUUAAGUCUAGAUUAGCUAACCCUAAGAUUAUAAAUGUCUUUUACCUUUUAUUAAAAGUGAGAGUAAAAGUGGUUAGUGUAAACAUGAAAAUUGGUAUUAUGAAUAUGGUAUUUUGGCAAUUUCCCAUGAAAUUUCUAUUGUUGUUCCAAAAAAAAUAUUAACUAAUGUUAUAUAUAUGAGCCAUUAGUUAUAAAGAUGGACAAAGAUGAAAUUUAUUUACUCUUAUAAAGAUGGACAAAGAUGAAAGUGAUUAAACUUUUAAUGAAUUCAGUUUGAACUUUGGUGACCCCAGUUAAAAAAUCCAGGAGACUGGAUCGUAUUCUUAUUUAAUACCGUUAUUGAACUUCUUCUAGUUAAUGAAAUGUGAAAUUUUCAUGUUUACCAUUUUUUUAAUACCGUUAUUCAUGUUUACCGAUAUGAAAGAGACAUUUUCAAAAAUACAUUUUUAUUAAUUGGCAAAAGACUCUUAUACUCUUGUUUUCUAUACAUAUAAUAAAUAAUUAUUUAAAAAAUAAAACAAAAAUAAUUUUUUUCUUAUGUUUUCGAAUUAUACAUCUCAAAUUCAACCUUUUUUAUAAUUUUUUUUCUUCUGAAUUUUUUUUCGAAAUUUUUUUUUUCAAAAUAAAAAAAUUUCAAAUCAAAAUUUUUUUUGAAACUGUUUUUUUAAUUUUUUAUUUAUAUAUUUAUUAGAAUCUUAAAUUUCAAAUUCCAAAAACUCUACCAUAUUCCUCAUCUCUAAAUCUUAAGUCUAGAUUAGCUAACCCUAAGAUUAUAAAUGUCUUUUACCUUUUAUUAAAAGUGAGAGUAAAAGUGGUUAGUGUAAACAUGAAAAGUGGUAUUAUGAAUAUGGUAUUUUGGCAAUCUCCCAUGAAAUUUCUAUUGCUGCUCAAAAAAAAAUAUUAACUAAUGUUAUAUAUAUGAGCCAUUAUUCAAUUAAAAAUCGUUUUAAACAUUUUAUAUGAGUGUAGUUUUUUUCCAUCGCAAACAUUAUAUUUUGGAAGACAUUUGCAAUUUUGAUAUUACAAAAGGAAUAAUUUAAAAUAAAAGUUACUAGUAAUAUUUAAAUUUACUAACCAUUUUUGGUACUUUUUCAUUUAAUUGAAUAAGAGGUAUACUUUUGCAUAUAUACUACUAAAAGAUUUAAUUAAUGUAUGAUUUUUUUAUUUGAAACACUUUUAGAAAGUUGUUUGAAUUAGUUUUUGACAUCCCCUUAGUUUUGACAAGUAUUUACAAUAGUGCAAUUCCUGAAUUAAUGGUAAACAUAUUGUUAUUUAUCACCUAAUUAAAAUCGGGAUCAUUGAAUUAUUUUAGAGAUUUUGUUUCUAAUUAUUAGGUAACUAUAUUGCUCUGUAAAUGCUUCAGUUAUUAAAAGAAAAAUGGUAACCAAGAUAAUGAAGAGGAACACUACAUUAAUUAACGUUCCUUAAAAAAAUUACCAUUCAUGAGGAAUAUUUUUUCCUUUUCGUUCCUUUUCAUUCUUUUUUAUAGAGAAUUAUAAUACAAAUUUGUUCCUUGUUAAUUUUGAUAAAGAACCCUAAUUCCUCAUCUUUAUCAAAAUUUUAUUCAUAUUCAUUUUUUUUCUAUUUAUUCCUAAUGUUCAUUGGAUGGUUACCGGUGUUCCUAUAUAUUGCAACACACUACAAAAGGCUCUGACUAAAAAUCAACUGAGUACAUUCUUCUCUUCUCUAGUUCGUAGACAUAUAUUUUUAAAUGAAAAAGAGUCUAGAGAAGUAGUUCAAAAAUUCAUGGAGAUUACCAAAACACCAUAUUCGUAGACAAUCUAAUUUGUUUACAUUGUAUGGUCUUCUUCUUUCUUUUCUUCUUCCACCGUAAAACUUCAUGAUAUCUCAUUCAUUUAUUUGUUUUCUCUUAUUUCACAAUUAUUAUGAUAAGCCAAUCAUAACAACCGUAAAUCCAAUACCACUAUACCACUGCAACAAAUAAUAUUAUUUUAAAUGAUAACAUGUACGCAAAUGAUAUAUGCAAUUUUAGGUAUUUUAAUAUUGGGGUUUGUAGAUGCACAAUCGAGUAAUCUAAACUAAAUCGACAGUAACUAUUUAAGUUUAAACUAAACCAUCAAGAGUUUACGAUAAUUAUCUCAAAUAACUUAUACAUUGCCGAUUUCUUUUUGAAAAAUAAAAAUAUUUAAAUUGAUAAAAUGUAUUAAUAUAUUUUACCUUCUAAAUAUAAAAUACUCAACAAAUUAAUAUUUCUAUUAUUUUAUUUCUAUGAUGGAAAGAGUUAUGCUUGAUGUUUUUACAAUUUUUUUAUUUUUUGGGUUAUUAAAUUAAACAUGAAAAUAUUUGUGAAAUACGAGACAUAUUGAACAAAUAGAUUAGCCAAUUUCUAUUAUAAAAAUAUUAAAGAAUUUAAAUAAUACGAGACAAUUAAAAAAUAUAUUAACUUAUUUCAAACUUUAAAGAUUAAAAAUUUAAAACAAGGGGUUUUAUAAUAAAUUUAUAAUGAUUAUUUUAAAAUAUUAAUUAUUAUAGUUCCUAUUUAAAUAAAUGGGAUCAAAUCUAAACUGAAAUCUGUAAUAUUAGAACUCAAAUAUUGUUUAGCAAAAGAUUACGGAAACUUAACAAAUACGUAGAAAAUUUAAAUAUAUCCCUCCAAAUUUUCAUUAUUUAGUAAAUAUUUUCACUAUAUAAAAUUAUUUUUCACAUAGUAAUUUAUUUAUUUGGUAUAUUCUCAAAACAAAAUCUAAUAAAAAUGCAUAGUUAUAAACUUCGAAACACUCAAAAUAUUUUAUAAUUAUUAAGUGGAUAUUUAAAACGAGUUUAAGAUUAUAACAAUCUUAAUAUUUUAUUUAUAAAUCUAGCAUUACAAAUAAGUUUUAAUCAGUUAGUUAUCAAAUACAAGCCAUAUUGUACAAACAGAUUUAAGCUUCGACAUAUCGAGAACCGAAACCGAACUGAAGCGGAACAAAAGAAAAAUGAAACAAAAAAAACGAAAUAAAAAAUGAAUCAAUUUUCAAAAAUAUUUGAAUAGUUCAUAUAUCUCUGAAACAGAACCUGAAACCAAAUGGGAGCCAAAUCGAAAACCAAAUGGAUAUUCAAAGAUCCAAAAUACAGCUGAUCUACUUUCAAAUAAUAAUUAUAUUUAGAUUUAAAUUUAUCAAAUAUUCUAAAAAAUCCUAGUUAUAGAAUUAUCCAAAAACAGGAUUACCCUAUUACUUUUAUCUGAAAUAUUUAAAAUUUAUCCUAGUUUUCCAACAAAACCGAAUCACCCGAACUUUUUUUCACAUAUUAAAAUUUAUCUGAGUUAUCUGAUAUUUUAUCCAAAAAUGAGAUUUUACCCAAAUUAUUUUAGAUUAUCAAAAAAAGGGAAACCGAACCAGAACAUAACUGAACUCAAAUUUUUAUCGGAUUCUUAACAUUGUUACCCGAACCAAAACGAAAAACAAAAAAAAAUCAAAUUCAAUUCAAAAAUAACGGAACGGUUUUCUUCUCAUGACCCAAAAAUAAACAGAAAAAUCCACAACAUAACUGAAUCGAAAACCAAAAAAAAAAAAUUGAAAAUGAACCUGAAACUGAACACAAGCUUAAACAUAUUAGUAAACAAACAAAUGGGUUAAUAAAAUUGUAAGAAAAAACAUAUUUCGCGAUUUUAAAGCGCGGGUCAAAAUCUAGUUUGAAUGAUUAUAAAACAAACAAAUCAAAUAUAUGUUCUGUAUUUUCUCUGAAAUUAUAUCUGAAUAAAAAAAAAUUCAUAUAUUUUCUUUUGCAAUAUAAAUAUAUAUUUCAUUUUUCAACAAAAUAAAGCUUUUAAAUAUUUAAUUAUUUUUUUAUAUAUUUAAAUAAAUGUAUAUUUCAUUUUUCACUUAAGCAAAGCUUUUAAAUAUUUAGUUAAUUUUGUGUCUAUUUAAAAAUUAAAUGUAUAUUUCAUUUUAACUAAAAAAAGUUUUAAAUAUUUAGUUAAUUUCGUGUCUAUUUAAAAAUUAAAUGUAUAUUUCAUUUUAACUAAAUUUUUUUAAAAAUACCUAAUUAAUUUUGUUAUUAUAACUAAACUCAUGUAUUUUUGAGAAACUUUUAAAAUACCAUAAGUUAAGUACAAAUUUUCAAAAAUAUCCUCGAUCAAAAAUAUACUAACAUUUGGGUUUAGGCUUUAGUGAUUAUCGUUUAGGAUUUAAUAUUAAGGGUUUGAGGUUGGGUUUAGAAAUGUUUUAUAAAUAUUUAGAAAAAUAGUUCAAUGUUAUUUUAUCACAAAUUUAGGGUAUUAUGAAUAUAGACGUUCAGUAAUGGUAAAUUUGAAAAGUGAUAUCAAAGUGGUGGUAAAAUUGAAUUUUUCCAAAUUUUGAUAUUAAUUUAAUAUAAUAAUUUUCAAUUAAAUUUUUGACCUUUAACCAAUAAGAUUUUUCAAUUUAGAAUUUUGUAUCACAUGAUUUAAAAUAUGCUAUCACUGAACUAUAAAAUUAUUGUGUGUUUAAAAUGUAAUAUUAAACAAUUAGUAAUAUGGUAAAUAUUACAAUAAACCAUGCAAAACAAAUAAUUACGUAUGUAAAAAUAACAAUAAUCACCAGCAUGGUUAUUGUGCAGGUCAAGUUCUUAGUUUAUAUUAAAAUUUUAGGUUAUAUUUGGCAAAUCUCAAAUUUUAUUUUAUCAAUAAAACCUUAAUUCAAGGGGAAAUUACAUGUUUAUCACUUUCAUGCUACCACUUUUCAUUUGUACCACCACUAAAAGAACAUUUUCAAAAAUACAUAGUUCAUUAAGUGCCAAAAGACUCUCAUGCCAUUGUCCUUUUUAUAUAUAAUAAAUAAAUAUUUAAAUAAAUAAAAAUCUAAAAUUAUUUUUUUUCGAAUUAUACUAUUUCGAAAUUCAAACCCUAAACACUAAACCCUAAAACUCAACUCUAAACCUAAACCAUCAAUCCUAAACCCUUAUUUUAUGAAAUACAAACCCUAAACCCUAAACCAUCAAUUCUAAACCCUAUUUUUUGAAAUACGAACUCUAAACCCUAAACCCUAAACCUUCAGCUCUAAACCCUAAAACAUCAACCCUAAACCCUAAACCCUAAACUUUAACUCUAAAACCUAAACUCUAAACCCUAAAAAGUAAACUCUAAAUCCUAAACCCUAAAAAAUUAACCUAAACCCUAAAAUAUCAACUCUAAACCCUAAACCCUAAACCUUCAACUCUAAACCCUAAAACCCUAAGCCUUCAAAUGUAAACCCUAAACCCUAAACCCUAAAACUCUAGAGUUGAUGUUUUAGGGUUUAGAUUUGAGAAUUUAGGGUUUUAGGUUAUUUUUUUUCGAAUUAUACUAUUUCGAAAUUCAAACCCUAAACACUAAACCCUAAAACUCAACUCUAAACCUAAACCAUCAAUCCUAAACCCUUAUUUUAUGAAAUACAAACCCUAAACCCUAAACCAUCAAUUCUAAACCCUAUUUUUUGAAAUACGAACUCUAAACCCUAAACCCUAAACCUUCAGCUCUAAACCCUAAAACAUCAACCCUAAACCCUAAACCCUAAACUUUAACUCUAAAACCUAAACUCUAAACCCUAAAAAGUAAACUCUAAAUCCUAAACCCUAAAAAAUUAACCUAAACCCUAAAAUAUCAACUCUAAACCCUAAACCCUAAACCUUCAACUCUAAACCCUAAAACCCUAAGCCUUCAAAUGUAAACCCUAAACCCUAAACCCUAAAACUCUAGAGUUGAUGUUUUAGGGUUUAGAUUUGAGAAUUUAGGGUUUUAGGGUUUAGGGUUUAGAUUUGAAGGUUUAGGGUUCAAAUUUCAGAAAAUAUAGGGUUUAGGGUUUAGGGUUUACGUUUAGGGUUUAGAGUUGAUGUUUCAUGGUUUAGGGUUUAGAGUUGAUGAUUUAUGGUUUAAAGUUGAUGUUUUAAGUUUAGAUUUACGGUUUAGGGUUUACGUUUAGGGUUUAGAGUAUGUUUUAGGGUUUAGAUUUGAAGGUUUAGGGUUUAGGGUUUAGAGUUGAUGUUUCGGGGUUUAGGGUUUAGAGUUGAUGUUUCAUGGUUUAGGGUUUAGAGUUGAUGAUUUAGGGUUUAGAGUUGAUGUUUUAAGUUUAUAUUAGUUAACCAUAUGUUUUUUUUUUGUCAAAGUUAAUCAAAAGGUUAUAAAUGUCUUUUACCCUUCAUUUAAGAUGAGAGUAAAAGUGGUUAGUGUAAACAUGAAAAGUGGUACUUUGAAAAUGAUAUUUUUCGCAAUUUCCCUUAAUUCAAUAGUAAAGGUUGUUAAAAUAUUAAUUUUAUUUAGUGAGGAAUCUCAUUUAAAAUACAAUGGAGGUGCUCUUAUGUCCUAGAAAUUGUUUUUUUUUUGUUGAAAUAUUAUGGUAGACUUGAUUAAGUUUGAUUUAUGAUCGUAACUCAAAAAUGUUACCAAUCAUGCAUUAACUUUACUUUUUUGAUUUUAAAUUUGAUUUAACAUGUAUUGUAGUUGAGGUACCAUUUUGACUUAGGGGAGUGUAUUCAACUGAGAGUUUUAGGUGAUUUGUAUCAAAAUGACAAAUCCACUGUUAUUCAAACAUGAAUUUUAAAAACUAAUUUAAAAUCCACUGUUAUUGAAUUUAGCAUUUCGUAGAGUACUCUAAAAUCUACUGUUAUUGAAAAUAUUUUAAGUUGUGAAGUUUUAAAGCUUUCAGGUGAUUUUACGGAGUUUGGGUAGAGUUUCUUAGUUAAAAAUAUUAAAACCCAAAUCCCGUAGUUUUAGGUUAUAUUCUAGAGUGAUUUAACAUAAAUCGUCUAAAUCUCUGCAACUUAUUGAAAUCAUCUAAAACUCUAUUAAAAGUCAAAUCACUUCAAAUGUUAUGUUGAAUAUACACCCCCAUUAGAUCCUUUGUAAAAUUAGUAAAUCAAAAUUUAAACCAACAUCAACCAAAUUUCUAUGUAUUAGAAGUUGAUUUACAAAUUUAAUUGAUUUUUCUGUCUAAAAAAUAAAAAAAAGAAAAUAGUGAUUUUUGAAAACUUGCGUGUGCCAAGUUUUGUCCACCUAAUUUUGUGCUAGUCAAAGAUUUUAUAAUCUUUCUUGUUUCUAUUUUUUUGAAUUAUUCAAAGUCAAAAUUUAACUAAUUAUUACACAAAAUCUUAAGCUUUAAUUUUAUUUAAUAAUUCAAAAACUCCAAUUACAAAAUUAUAUAUAUAUAUAUAUAAGACCCUAAGUUAUUGUGGAUCACGUCACUUUCAAAACCUAAAAACUUAAGGUAUGUUUUCUUCUGUCUUCUUCUUUUGCUUGCAAAAGUUAUUUUCAUUUUUUACUUGCAAAAACUAAUAUGCUUAACGUUUGUUUUCUAUUUUUUUCUUCCUUUUAAUUCCACAAAAUAGUUUUUUUCUUGAAGAAACCAAUAAGCUUAUGUUCAGUUUUUCUGUCUUCUUCUUUAUGUGAAAAUUUUAUUUUCAUUUUUUACUUGCAUUAGCUUUAUCGAUUGUUUAAAAUAAAAGAGUACCUUUUUAUGUUUACUAAUUUUUGUUUAUUUUUUUUGGAUGAAGAUGUCUAAUAAUAAAAAUGUUGAUGAUGCUGGUGCUGGUGCUGAUGACGGCUGUGGAACUUAUAAUUAAUAUGUUAAAAUUUUAACUUAUAUGAAAUAGUAUUUUAAUAAUUUUAACAUGACUAUAGAAACAAAACAAAUUAUAUGGGAAGAUGAGCAUGUUGGGAUAUUCUUGGAGCUUCUCGAUAUCGAGUUGGCUAAAAUUAGAUACAGACAAAAGUUACCGAAAGAAGUAGGGAGAUAACGUAUUUGUAAAGAGUUUUUGGAGAAAAUUGAUAUACAUCUUUCUUGGGAGAUAUAUAUAUAUAUAUAAAAGACCCUAAGUUAUGGUGGAUCACAUCACUUUCAAAACCUAAAAGCUUAAGGUAUGUUUUCUUCUGUCUUCUUCUUUUGCUUGCAAAAGUUAUUUUCAUUUUUUACUUGCAAAAACUAAUAUGCUUAACGUUUGUUUUCUAUUUUUUUCUUCGUUUUUACUUCCACAAAAUAGUUUUUUUCUUGAAGAAACCAAUAAGCUUAUGUUCAGUUUUUCUGUCUUCUUCUUUAUGUGAAAAUUAUAUUUUCAUUUUUUACUUGCAUUAGCUUUAUCGAUUGUUUAAAAUAAAAGAGUACCUUUUUAUGUUUACUAAUUUUUGUUUAUUUUUUUUGGAUGAAGAUGUCUAAUAAUAAAAAUGUUGAUGAUGCUGGUGCUGGUGCUGAUGACGGCUGUGGAACUUAUAAUUAAUAUGUUAAAAUUUUAACUUAUAUGAAAUAGUAUUUUAAUAAUUUUAACAUGACUAUAGAAACAAAACAAAUUAUAUGGGAAGAUGAGCAUGUUGGGAUAUUCUUGGAGCUUCUCGAUAUCGAGUUGGCUAAAAUUAGAUACACAAAAAGUUACCGAAAGAAGUAGGGAGAGAACGUAUUUGUAAAGAGUUUUUGGAGAAAACUGAUAUACAUCUUUCUUGGGAGCCUUUCAAAAGCAAAUACAAUAUAUUGAGAAAUAUGUAUGGAUUGUAUAAAUGGCUCAAGUAUUUUACUGGAGUUUCAGCAGAUAACAAUACCGGUUUGAUUGAGAUGGAUUCAGAAUGGUGAGACGAUCGCGAAAAGGUACAUUAUUGUAUAUAAUUGAUAUUUAAAAAAUCAAGUAACAAAUCUUGUUACUGAUAUUUACGUUAUAUUCGUUGCCUUUGUGUUGUGCAGGAAAUUCAAUAUGCAAAAAAGAUCCAUGAAACAUUUUUAAAUAUUUUAAUUGUUUUAUUUGUUUUUAAUAAAUAUAUCACUAUUUAUAUGUAUAUAUAUUCAUUUAUUCUAUUAAGAAAUUCAUAUUGCAACUUAUAUAUCAAAAAAGUUACCAGCCAGUAUUUUUUAAAAGGAAUAACUCUUAUUUUUAUUGCAAACUUAUUACAUAAACAUACAGUAUAUAUCACAUAAUUUUUAUUGUAAGUUACAUCAAAUUACAAAUCAUACUGUAACUCAGCUUUAAUAUUACAUGUCACUGGUCGGAGCCUUAUGUUAUACUAUGUUGUAUUAAAUUGACAGAAAAGUUGUUGGCAGAAAGAAAAGGAGAUUUAGAGAAUCAUUCUUCUAUUAUACACUGAUUGGUUUUAUCAUUUUAUCAUUCGUAGCUUUCUGUUUGAAAUGUUGUCUUAGUUCCCAUUCAUUUGAUGAUCCUUUAUUACAGUGGACCAUUUUGUUAGUUACAGUGGACCAUUUUGCAUGUUCCUCGUGCUGAAAAUCAAAGUUUGAGUCGGUUACUGAUGUAUCAGAACUGACGUGGUAAUGUAUUUAUUAUAGAAAUGAGAGAAUAGUCUUUUCUUUUUACUGUCACACGCGGCUAUAAAUUUUAACUGCAGAAAUGUCCUAUAAAUUAGGUGGCAAUUUGCCUGAUCUCUACAACUCAACUCAAAAGCAAACAAAUUAAAAAACUCAAAAGCAAACAAACCCGAAACACAAAUAUUAAUCACAAUGAUGUCAUCAUUCCCAUUGGUCUCCUUUCUCACACUCUCAUGUUGGCUGCAGCUGUAUGCACCCAGGGACACGAACAUGUGCUGGACAUGGCCGAAAAUCUAGUUCUAACGACUGCACAAUACCUGAUCCUACCGUACUCCCCGAGGAGUAACGGAGGUGGUCUCCUUCCAGUCCCCGUUAAACUACUUCCCCUUUGUCCACUUGGCAUCAGCCAAUCCUCGGUUACAGCCUUACCAGGCCUACCGGUUGGCUUCUCAUAUCCAUACCCGCUCAUGGACACCUAUGUUAACGAAGGGCAAGCUGUAAAUAUCGAGUUUAGGUCGGAAGCAUGGCCGGGCUGCGAAGAGUUUUCCAAGUACUGGGAAGUAGAUGAAUCCUCAUCGGCUUUAGAGGAGCCUGCUAUUCUGACCGGUGGUAAGAAGCGGGAACG